rnacentral:lncRNA from 1 species
UAGACAUCUGAAAAUUCAGCUGAAGAUAGUUUUAGCAGCAUGAUGUAAACUCAAUCGAAGGGGUUGACGCAGUGUAUGAAAAACCUUUCCUGUGAUCUUGGCGCGGAGCAAAAUUUGUACUGAUUUUACCGGGAAAAAUCAAUCAAUGACAGCAUGCCCAACAAUGUCUUGUGUGAAUAUGUUACUGCCUGAUAUUCACAUGUUAGCAGAAUGAGAAUAACCAACCAAACUCCAAUGAGCAGAUUGUUAAAGUAACAGCCACUGGUGGUGUGAAAAUCCUGAAAUCUGCUUCAGUCACUUUGCCUUGUUUACAGUUGAGUCUGUUGUUGUGAUCUGUACCCAAUGCAUGUACACAAUCAUCAAAUUAUUAGUUUUUUUACCAAUGUGUGCUCGAUGUAAUCAUCAUGUAUUCCCUCCUUCCAAAAUACGAGUCAUAUAUAUUAGUUUUGUCUUAAUUUGAACUUACAUCAACACCUACAAUACCCAAUCAGUAUCAGUAGAUGCACCUGUUUCUGUAGUGUAUUUAUUUGGUAUUGCAAGUGCUGGUAUUUCUCUUUUUUUUUGCUGAACUUUUAUGUUUGACUUAAAGACAACUAAUACGACUUAUAUUUGGGACGGCGGAAUCAUGCUCUGCACAUGUUUUCAGUCAUGUACUCACACAUUAUUAUCAGUUUAUAUUUUGUUUCCCUAUGUUUUAGACACAUUUAUUUGAACUUGUUUGGGUGGUGGGUUCCAUCUUCCCAAGUUUAUAGCACCUUUUUGUUUUUUUUGUUAAUUUAAUGACGGAUUUUUCCUUGUCUCACUAGGUUUUCUGGCUCUUAUCAUUGACUACACCAUAUACUUCCUCCUUUUCUUUUUACUAUGCAUAUUAGAUUUCUCUAAAGUCAAAUUCGUAAAGUUCGUCCAAAUUUAAAUUAAAAAAUAUCAGGAUUUACCACCUCAAAUAAAUAUAAUCUGAACAUAUAGGAAGGAACAUAUAUUCCAUGAUGGAUUUGAUUAUAUUAAUUUUGUAUUGCAAAUGUUAUAUUUUUAAAAUAAAUUUGAUCCAACUUUGAAGAGUUCAACUUUAGACAGCGGUGUAAAAAGAAAAGAAAUAGAGGGAGUAUUGUAAUGGUGCUCUCUCCAGAGCUGUUCUUGCACCCUCAUGGGAGGCUGCCACAGUGCCACUGCUCUUCUCGAAGUGAAGCACAUCAUCACCUUUCCUUAUUGUGGGACCUUGUAGCAGUUUUCGUCGAGAAAUGAGUUGUUUGGAUUAAGGAGCUAGGUGAUUUUAGUUUCUUUUUCGAGCAUUCGGUUUCCCUUUAAAUUUGAUCAGAGAUUAUAUUCCCAAUUGUGAUUCAUGUGAACAUACUUUUGUUUUCUUAAUCAAAUAAUACUAGGGGAUGUGCAUAUCAUGAGAUCCCCUAAACCAUUCCUCUCUGCAUAUAUUCUAAGCUGGCACCAAUAAAAGAUUCCUAAUCAAGGCAGUGGAAAAACAGAAAGAAGAAGGGAAUUAAAACAUGACUUUCUUGUGCUUCCAACAAACAAACACGCUUUCCCUUUCUAAAAAGGNNNNNNNNNNNNNNNNNNNNNNNNNNNNNNNNNNNNNNNNNNNNNNNNNNNNNNNNNNNNNNNNNNNNNNNNNNNNNNNNNNNNNNNNNNNNNNNNNNNNNNNNNNNNNNNNNNNNNNNNNNNNNNNNNNNNNNNNNNNNNNNNNNNNNNNNNNNNNNNNNNNNNNNNNNNNNNNNNNNNNNNNNNNNNNNNNNNNNNNNNNNNNNNNNNNNNNNNNNNNNNNNNNNNNNNNNNNNNNNNNNNNNNNNNNNNNNNNNNNNNNNNNNNNNNNNNNNNNNNNNNNNNNNNNNNNNNNNNNNNNCCCGUCCCUUUCCUCAUCUCCAUCGCCAUUUCCCUCUCAUCCUCCACCAACUCUCAAUCUCCAAUGACAUUUCUUCUCCUAUGCUCGGUCUCCUCCCAACGCUCGAGAUCCUAGUAACACCCCCGCUCAUCCCACAACCUUGCCUUUGCGCAUAACACUUCUAAACCUACCCUUUGAUCUUUCAACUUAGUGUGUUAGGGUUUGAAUCUUGGCAUCCAUAACCAUAGCCGCCACCAAUCUACCGGGCCAUCUCUGCACCCGACAAUCCUUCUAUCAGUACUUGGCGUCUCUCCAUGCGACCGAUCCCAAUUACAGUUGGCUGGAGCCAUACCAAGAGUUUGAGGUAUGGCGGCGUUCUCGAUUUGGCACGGCAACAUCUGUACUAAUUUUACUAGAAAUAUUGAUCAAAUUGUAGUGCCUUUUUGGAUGGUUGAUUUAUUUUUGUUAAUUCAAUGUUUCCAUUCUUCUUUGUCUUAUGAGGCUUUCCACAUGUUUUUACGUGGCUAGUGAACUACAUCAUAUAUAUAUAUAUAUAUAUAUAUAUAUAUAUAUAUAUAUAUAUAUAUUGUACUUCUUUCAAAUUCAUCCCUACCACCAUCAUUGGAGCCUCACCACAACUCUUGAAGUGUAAGGACAUUAUAUGUCUUUCAUUGUUGUGUUACCUUAUAGCAGUUUGAUUGAGCCCCGGGUAAUUUGGAUUAAGAUGGAGCUAUGUGAUUCUAUUUCUCUGUAGGGUUUUGAAGCCUUUGAUUUCUCGAGAUUCUAUUUUCAAUUAUGAUUCACAUGGCCAUAAGUCAGUUCUUUUAUUAAAUAAUGUCAGGGGAUGUGUAUCUCUUGGGAUCUCCUCCACAAUCCCUCCAUGUGGUAGUUACUCUCAUGUCUCAUAUACUACCACCGGGUGGUAGUUAGCAUCAUAUCUUAUAUACUAGCAUGUGGUAGUAUAUAUAUAUAUUACUUUAUCAUUCUAUGUAUAUUCAUAUAAUAUAUCUAAGAUUUUUCAAAGUGAGUUAAAUGAAUAAAAUGCAUGUGAGUCCAUGGAUUUUAGUAUAAUUUUGAAAAUACCUUCAUAUUGGUAUGUAUAAAACAAUAUAAUAAAAACUAUUACAUUACUACCAUGUGUAGUGUUUUCCACAACCACACCUUAGUACACAUCUAACCCUCUACCACCAGUCAAAAAACAUCUAACUCUACUCUUGGAUCCGUCAACUCACUAUGUUAGGUUCUAGAUAUUUGGGGAUCCACAACCAUACAUGUCCUCAAUCUAACAAGUCAUAUAUAAUUCCUACAUCCCUUGCAAAAGGUCUUAGAAUCUCUCGUACAAUCUAUCCUGACUAUAGUAGCUAGGAACCAUAGCAAGAGUUGAAGUUAUAGCGGCGUGUUCUCGAUUUGGUAGUGAACUCUCAAGGAUGUGAUAAUCACAAGAAAGUUCCAUUUGUUAAGUCUUGCCAUUGCCAUCUUGUUUCUUCGGAGUUGUGCUCCUAGAUUUAGCAGAUUGGUUGUGUAUGUAGUGGCUAAAGUUGAUGGUUCUCUAUUCUGACCUUUUAUUUCCAUAUGGUAUUUGUUAUUCUUGUUUGCUCGAGUUCCAAUGGUAAAUGAUAAAAUUGCUGCAUUCUUAUAAUUUUUGUGAAUACUUAAACAAAAUACAUGUCAGUAGAUUUAUAGACGUUUUCACACAACAUAUAUGUCAUGGCCAUUUGGUGUCUUCAUACUUUGCCGUUGUCCAUAUGAUUUCUAUUGAUAAUUAUUUCGUAUAAACACAUGCAAGUACAUACCAGUAUCCGCUUAAUGGUAAGAAAAAAAUGUGAUGCAUCCACAUUCUAAUUUUAGGUAGUUCAUUGUCAAUAAAGCCUAUAUUUGAAAUCAUAUGCUGGCCAUUUGGGGCACAAUAAGUUUAGCAAAAACUAGAGUGGCAUGCACAUGUGAAUAUUGUUCCAAGUUUCAAGCUUCUUAUUUACAUUCCUCUAAGUGUGGUGGGAAAUUUGUUAGCAUGUUCCCCACAAUAUACCGGGGGUGAGCAUUAGGAGAUUCGAAGGAGUUUACUGUACAUAGAAGUAAUUUGUGGUUGUGUGAGUUAAACUACCUAUCUUGUGUUUUUUACCUUAUAUAAUAAGGAUGUCAUCAUGUGACAAAAACUUUCAUCUCAUUUUUUAUGUUCAAGAGUUUUCUGAAGAGGCCCACUUGGACUGUAGAAUUCCUAUAGGCUUUAUAAUCAAGAUCCAAGCUUUUUUUAUCCUUUUCUGUUUGACCAUUUCUUUGAAUAAAAAGAGUGAGUAUGUGAUCCCAUUUCUUAUGAAUUCAAGAGGCAUUACUGUUCCAACAUAUUCAAAGCACAUAUUCUGACUGUAGUUUGGUAGUCUGGAGCAGGAUUUCUCGCAAUAUUCGGAAGAAAACCUCCUCGAUGACUGCUCGUCAGAAGAAAUCUGACAACAUUGUGGUUUCUCCUAAAGUUGGAAUUAUCACUCGCGGCAGAAUGUCAAACGUAAAUGAUAUGGCUUCCUUGGAAACAAAUCACACUACGGUUCCAAGAGGUAUCUUGCUUACUAUCAUGUUGCAACUAUGAAGAUAAUUCUAAUGAAAAUAUUGCAUAUAAAUUAAUCUUUUGUCACAUAUGAUGAAAUAUCAGGACAUUGUGUGACACCUACCUUCGAAAUAACCGUGCAGUCGGACGAGGGGCUUAAUCUUUCUGUGGAUCUAAAUUCCACUCCAUCAGAGUACACUAAAAUAUAUUCACAACAACUUGGGGAUGUUUCUAGAGAGGCUCAACUUGAAGCUCCAACAGAAAAUGCAGAGGUAGAAGAUAUGGCUGUGGAAGACAAUAUAGGUUGUGGUGACAUGUUACCACCAGUUUCUAGAGGGGCAGAAUUUAAAGCCCAGGUAGAAAAUGAAGAGAGGGAAGAAGUUUUGAUGGAAGAAGAAAUAGGUUGUGCUGACAAGUUGAUAGUUACUGAAGGGACCCAACUUACACUUAGCAGGGACAAACAUGAAUCACCUGUGAAAACUGAACUAGUGGCUCAAGAAGUAGUAAUGCAAGAAGAUAUAGGUUGCGAUGAUAAUUUGCCAGGUUCAAACCAAGUGCUGAUCUCACAUGCCAAUCAAGAUGCUGGCUUUACAAAUCAUUCCCUUGACGAGGUCUUGAACCACACAAGCUCAACGCUACCAUCUAUUGGUUCGGUAAUUUCAUUGAACCAUUUAUAAUACUAUUUUUUCCAUUUGAUUCUACUAUAUACUUUACUUCCUUUCAUCAAAGAAAUAUCGUCUUGGGUACUUUUUUUAAUCCAUUUUUGAUACUGCCGCAACAGUGCAUGUUUCUUUUCACCAAACUAAACAUUUACUUGUUACUCCCUCUUAUCCAACAUAAGUGUAACUUUAAUUCAAACCCGCUGACACUUAUUAUGAAUCGGAGGGAGUACUAAUAAAAUGAAAAAGUUCAGCCUUUCAUUGUUUUUCCCUUCUUUGAGUCCGAUAGUAUUGCGAUUUGCUUACUAGGUGUUGUUGUCAGUUGAUCACUCUUAUCUUUUUGUUGUGAGUUUCAAAUUGUUUUCAUUUUUCUUGUUUAACAAGUAGGUCUCGGUCAGCAAAAGAGUGCAUCAUCCUGCCAUUAGAAGAAAAGAAAAAGAAAAACAGAAAUGAGACAUGAUUUUGGUAGGAAUUAAUCAUCUUCAUGAUAUAUAGACCGUAUAUGGUAAAAGAAUGCGCAUGUGCUUGUGCCUCGCUUCCACACGCUCGCACAACACUGGCCAUCUUUGUCAAAUUGUCCUCUUUCCACUUUCUUCCAUUCCCUUCACAAGUGAGCGCGUUCCCUUGACCCUAAUUAACCCACCUAGCUAGGCACCCAACCACCAUAGCGAGCCCGCAGAACCCUAGCUAGGUAUUGGCGAUCGAGGCAUAAUCAUUUAACCCCCGGACAUGACGAAGAUGGUAUCGGAGAUGAAGGGGGUGACUCCGUGGGCACAGGAGCAGCCCGACACGGCCACAGAAGAGCAACUCAUCGUCGUGCAGGAGGUGAGUGGAUCACGCAUACACGUAGUUCUUUCUGGUUGGAUAGUUGGUAGAUCUGAUGGUGGUUUACGCAGACACUCAUAUUGCUUGGCUUUGGCUGCUCUAGCGGAUAGAUCGGACAGAGUUAAUUCUUGUUGUUGGGCUGCACUAGUCAAUCUAAAUCUGAUCGUGGUAGGGGAUCGAUAGAUCUGAGAUGAAUCAGACAUAGAAAUGCUCACACACGACUAGUUUGAUUUGAUUAUUACUUGAUUGUGCAACUAUGGGAGGUCCUCGGCGUCCGAAUUUUGGUGCCGCAGCUUAGCUCGAGUGCAUCCUAGUUGGUCUUCUGACGCGUCCUGUUGGUGGCGGCUGUCCGGGCAUACCCUCCGCAAGUGGUGGCGGCGAGGCACCGACGAGUAGAAAGCAAGGAUGGGCCGGGUGCAGGAGGAAGAAGGUGGUGGGCCUAAAAGAUAUACUCCCUCCGUCCGGAAAUACUUGUCAUCAAAAUGAAUAAUGUAUCUAGACAUAUUUUAGUUCUAGAUACAUCUCUUUUUAUCCAUUUUGAUGACAAGUAUUUUCGGACGGAGGGAGUAUAAUAUACUUCCUCCGUCCCGAAUUACUUGUCGUAGAAAUGGAUGUAUCUAGAGCUAAAAAUAUGUCUAGAUACAUCCAUUCUUGUGACAAGUAAUUUGGGACAGAGGGAGUACUAUGAAAAUAUAUUAUUUGUACACUAGGAAAAUGGGUAGUACUAAAAGAUAUAUAUAUAUAUAUAUAUAUAUAUAUAUAUAUAUAUAUAAGAUUUUAAAGCAAAACAUAUAUACUUAUAAAAACUUUCUAUGCACAAUAUUUACAAACUUCCAAAAAUUCCUAGUCCGUCGGGUAGACAACUAGUGUAGUCUUCCAAAGUGGAAAUCACGCGCUCGCAGAGAAACAGGCAUUCAAGCCCUGCCAUUUCUGUCUUUCGCUUCCCCCUCUCCUCGUACAAAGGCCGAAAACCCACCGGCAGGGUAGGUGUAGCCACCCAGCCGCCGCACUUGGCCCCCAAAAACCUUAGCAAGAGAGGCUGAAUCGUAUGGGGCGGAAAAAGAGGAGGGAGUUAAAGAUGGUGACGAAGUUGAAGGGAGUGACGCCGCGGGCGCAGGAGCAGCGCGGCACGGCCCCGGAGCUCGUCGCCGUGCCGGAGGUGAGUGGAGCACGUCUUGCCUGGCUGCUAGCUAUAGGUCGUCGACGGAGCUCUUUGCUGUUAUUUGUUGCGCCCCCUGGUAAAUCUGAAUCCGAUCUGAUCGUGGUAUAGGGAGGCGCAUCUCGCAUGCACAUACGGGUAAGGGAUCGAUCGGAAGGGACAGAUGUGGGGAUUUCGCCGCCGCGGUUUUUCUUGACUGCGCCCUAGUUGGUCGUAUCCGCCUUCGUUGAGUUGAGGGUGGCGAGCGGUAAGUGUAGGAAGCGUGGGGACACGUCGGGUGCAGGACGAAGAAGAUGGUGGGUGGCGUUGCUCAUGCCGUCAUGCGCUGGGGACGAAUCGGGCGUGAACCCAAGCAGCUAUGGCUGGACGAAUCGGGGUAAGAUUCUGCUCGAUCGCUAGCUAGCUAGCUUGCAUCUGGUUAAUUUUCCCUCUGGUACUCGCACCAAGAUCAAGCGACUUCCAAGCAACAAAUCGACCAAAACUGAUUCUGUAGUAGUAGUGUAGUACUAAUCGCCCCACCGCUAGAUGUGAUAGAUUUUUUCCUUUCUAGGAUUGAUGCGUCCCAGAUGUGAUAGAUUUUUUCCUUUUUUAGGAAUGAGAUGUGAUAGUUUUUCCAAAACGCUAUAAAAGGUUCGAUUUGCCACGGUAAAAAAUCUGACAUCUGAUUUGUAGUGGGAUCCUAGUCUUUUGAGGGGUCAAAAUGUGAUAGUUUAGGGGGUCGUUAAAAUGAUGUGUUGUGUUAAUUGUGUAGUGGUCGGUCUUGAUGCGCAUUGAAGGCCCAACCCAGAACAUAUGCUCUUUUCUUGUGUGCAUGGGGAUUGCUCCCGCUUCAAAAUGAAAAUAAAAAAAAUGUUAGCUAGGCGAUGGAGAUGGUGGCAGCGGCGAAGCCUAGUCUCACCCCCAUGCGGCAGUAGAGAAGGCGCAUCGCAUCGGAGGAUGGCCGGAGCCGAUGAGAAGCAUGGGCGCACGCAGGCAUACGUCAGGGCGACGGUACAAAACAGGGCCUAGGGAUACAGUAUAGGCAACCACAACAAGCACAAACCCCUCCCUUCUUAGUUCGUGUAACUGUCUUUUUAAUAACUACGAUAUGCAGUAAUUUUUAUUUUGCUAUGUCAAACUGUACUUGUUCAUUCCCUGAAAAAAAAACUAUACUUAUUCAUAUACUUGCAGAAAUAGGAGAGGCCAUCUCGGCCAUACUAUUUCUUAAAUGAUGCAAGCAUAAGAAUGUACAACUGAAAUGUUUAACUAUUUUCUGCUUGAGUAGUUGUUAAAAAUUAUCUGUUGGUUGCAUCUACCUACGAUAUAGCGAUCAUAGCAUUUUUUUUGGUGACCAAAUAGCGACCAUAAGUUAGGCAAGUCUUGUUUUUUUGAGUGUGGGAAGUCCUGGCUAAUAUUGUUGGCUUUUGAUGGCUUGAUCAAUUCACCAGAGAGCAGCAACAUACAUACGUGCAAGCUAGCUAGCUAGCAGUCACCUAGAUUGAUGAACAGUGGCCAAGCACAUGCACAGAUACUUCAGUUACGCUACUAGAAUCUGGUUUUGUCCCGAGUUAUUCUAGUAGUGCCUUAUUAUCUCUCUCUCUCUCCAUUUUAGGUUGUUGCACUAUUCAUUUUUGUUUUUCCUAUGCACUUGAUAUUAUUGUGAGUAACAUAGACCUAGGUCAUUUGAAUAAAUGGUUGUUGUAUCAGGCACCACGUGUUGAUGUUGAAAUGAAGGAUGGUGCAUUGGAACGCCAAAUCAUGGGAGCGCCUAAGUCAGGUUGCGAUUGCAAGACAGCUUGUUUUCCCUAUUAUUGGUUAUUGGUCCUCCAACUUUCUAACAUAUGUGUUCUUAAUUUCAUUGAAGGUGGCGUGGCUGAGAAUAGCAAUGAUCAGAUUCGUGAUUCCGUGGUAGAGAUUAAGAAAAUACGGGAUUCUAUUGUAUGUUAUAUGUCUUCUCUUUUGUUUCAGGAAAAAAAAUGAUGCUUGUUUUUCUUAUAUUUUGUUCUAGUUGAGAAUCUUAUGUAAAUUCAUCCCCUCUUUGUUUCAGCUUCGUAAGGAAUUCAUACUUCAAGAUGGAAGUGCUCAAUGUGAUAUGGACAUUCAUAAAAUUAAGAUGGACAUUCAGAAAAUUAAGACUGGUAUUCUACCAUUUUACACAUCUAAACAUCGUUAGAUUGAUAAUCACUUCUAGAAUUGUCACUGUUUUGUGGCAAACAUUGUGGGCAUGUUUUGCUGGGAGCCAUAUAUUUCCCAAAGUUCUGUGUUAAACUGUCAUAUUCCUCACUUUAAACUGUGGACAAAUCGUCUGUUAGAAGUGUGGCAUAUUUUGGCAAGAAGUUAUUUCUAUAUGAGUUCAUAGUUUAAAAUCGUCGGCGAGCAGAAAUUGCGGCAGGUAUUUGGCCACGAUGAGUAAGGAAGGAAUGCCGCAUUCUCCGGCAAUUUCCCAUGCCAUGCAGAUCGCGCAGCCGUUUCAGAUUCGUGAUAGCGCCGCUAUUGCGGCAGCGUCGUCCAUGAUUUUAAUCUAUGUAUGAGUUCAACAUUUCCAUUACUCACCAUGUUUAAACCUUAUGCAGAAAAGAAGAUGACAAAAGAAGUGUUGUCAACAAUGGAGAAAUAUAAGGAACCUAGCUCAAAUAUAAUGAAAGUUGCCAAUCUAACUUUCUCUGGCGAUGAUGGGAAAACCAAGAGCACUAAGAGAAUGGAAUUGAAAUUUAAGGAGGCACUCGCACAACGCGAUAAAUGCAUGGUAAGAAACUUCGCGCUGAACUGAUGCAUUAAAAUUUUAAAUGCCAUCUGUACCUUUGACACUUGUCAAUGCAGGAGCUUAAUGAUAUCUGCUGUGAUUGCGAUUGGAUGGCCCCUAGAUACACAGUACUACCUUCACUAGCAGAUGGUAUCUCUAAAUACCUUUACUCUUAUCUCUUUAAUUUUCCAAAUGGACACGCAUUGAGUUCUUGGACCAUAUAGGCACAAUAAUAAGAAUUUCAUUGAAAUUGGUCUUGUGCCACGUACUUUCUGAUUAGCGUUUGUUGAAUCCAAUCCGUAUAGCACCCCUUGGGCUAAAGAGUUUUCAAAAGGUCAUAUCUAUAAACCACUUGUCUAUGCUCUAUUCAAGUGUUAGGUUUAUUAAACAUCACAGUUCGGUCCAUGGUUACCAAAGACAUGUGUCGCGCCGUUGUCGGAUCUAUUAGAGAUCACCUCUACUCAUUUCAUUGCAUUCCACUUGUCAAGAACUGAAUAGGUUUCCAGCUAGCAAAAACUAGAACUGCUGUUUGAUUUAGUUCACUCUGUACGUUCGGUUUACAGGGUUCGGUUUAUACGUUUUUUUCGGUUUGUACAUUAUUAAUACUUUGGUAAAUAUGGUAUGAAAUUUAGAUACGGUUCGGUUUCAAUAUAUACCAAAUUAUUUUGGUAUGGUUUCGGUAUAUACCAUAAAACCAAAGUUGACGCGAAUUUGAAAAUGACAUAUAAUAGUUUGCAAAUUUGUGACUCAAAACACAUAUCUUUUUUAUACAAAGAGUAUAUAACUAUAUGCGACUGUAUAUGCAUGCAUGGUUUGGAUGGUUAUGGACAUGCAUAGCAUUCUUAUUAAGAGAAAUAUGAUUCGUUACAAGAAAAUUGGAUGCGCUUAACAUGAAAUCUAGUUUAUGUACAAAAAAGGACUACUCUAUGGUUGUUCUCCCCAAGAAAUAUACAUAUUUUUUUUACUUCGGUUUAUUCGGUAAACCAUACGGUUUUUUGGUAUAUACCAUAAAAACCAGAAUUCAAAACGAUAUAAAAAGUUCAUACCAUACCGAAAUCAUAAACCAUAAAAAAUGGUUCGGUUUGGUUUACUUUCGGUUCGGUUUUAAAAUGCACAGGGUGAGAUUUAGUGUCACAUUGUUUUCUGAGCACUUAUCCACCAGUUACUCUCCUAUCUUUUCAGGAAUGCACGUCGGCGAAGUGCGUUUGAAAUGCCCUGAUUUUGAGUUGAGCAUCACUAGCGAUCCUUGUCCAACCCCACAUGAUGCGAGGUGCUCUGCAGCUGCCAAUAUGAUAUUGGAGCUUGGCAAGAAGGUGGAGGACAAAGAACAUCAUGCUAACUGAUGCAAAGUUGCUAGCUGGGAACUAGCAGGCUGGGGCCAAUAUUACCAAAGAGUGAAAUAAAUCAACUUAGCUAUUUGUUGUUGUGAUGUAUGAACGACUUAAUGAUUUGUGUUGUGCGAGUUUGUACUGUAUUGCAUUGUGGCACAUGUGUGCCAACCAUGUGCUCAAACGAAUUAUUUUUACCAUUAUUUUAUUGAAUUUUUCUUUGUUUUGGGAACUCAUUCAAACUUGCUUUUGGGCGGAAAUUCAAUUAUGUGCAUAUGAUUGGGUUGCAUUUUCCCAAAAUUAUAGCACCUUUUUGGAAGGUUGCUUAUUGUUCUAAUUUAGAAAUUGUAUUCCUGUUUACUUGCUAGGUUUUGCGAGUGAGGCAUUUUGGAGCUUGAAUUUUUCUAAAUAUUAAAAACCAUAGUUCAAAGUCUGAAAAAGUCAUAGAUUUUUAUACAUAUAUUCAUAUGAAUGCAUUCUACAAGUGUAAAACGUUUCAUGAUGAAAUACGUUAACAUUUGAGCCACACAAAAUGGAAAAUUUGUGAAUUUUCAAUAAUGAACAAUGUAUGUACUGUUCAUAGCUAUCAAAGUUAUGAAUUUGGUUUUUGGUAGUUCACAUGUUAACAUAUAUCACCAUUAAACUUUGCAUACACGUAGACUAUACCAAUAUAAACAUGUGGAGUUAUUUUAAAAAAAUUGGAAGUCCAAAUUGUGAAUUUUGAUCUUUUCAAAUAAAAAGACAAACAAGCUCAAUACAGCCCCAGCUCUGAAAUGAACUUCCGAGGUUUUGCAUCCUUUCUCGUUAACAGUGAAGUACACCAAUAUUUGUUAUAUCUAUCCAAAUAUGUUAUUCCCACUGGCUGUGGGAGCUCUCUAAGGUGGGCCAGAAAAUUUCCUAUUGUUUAUUUAAUAGAGUAUAACCAUAUUACUAUAUUAGUGGUGAAAUGGCCGAGCAGGAGCACUAUAGACAAACCACCUUAACGAUGAUGACCAUAUGAGUAUGUGAACUAUCCUAAAAAAAUAUAAGUAUGUGAAUUAUUAAUUGUAAUCAUAGAUUAAAAUCGCGGGAGAAACGAUUUCGCGACGGCCUCUCCCAGCAGCUAUAGUGGCAGCCAUAGCGUUUGACAAGAAACUAAUCUCCAAUUUGGCGGUUGUGGAGUUCUGCAUGAGUUACCACUUGCUUAUAUUUUUAUCCUUUCAUAAUUCAAACUGACUCUUUUCCUUCUCUGUGGUGAAAUUCCAACUAACCCUCCAGGUAUAUUUUCCCCUCAGGCAUCACAAGAGAUGGCUUGCUGAGAAAAUAGGACCAGAUGCUGCAAAUAGUGAACAUGACUUUACAAGGAAGAUACUUGCUAUGGAUGCUAAAAACUACCAUGCUUGGUCCCAUAGGCAGGUAUGCAGUAUCUCCUUUUGAUGUUCAGUACAAGUUGGAUGUUUGUAUCCUUUAAGCUUAUUACUUCUCGCUUGGCUGUUGUACUAGGAAAUUGUAGUACCAAGAGAAUAUUGGUUAUAAUAAUGUAAUUGAUUUGCUAUAAUUGCUGCAGUGGGUUCUUCAAGCAUUGGGUGGAUGGGAGAGUGAACUGCAGUACUGCAACCAGCUUCUUGAGGAAGAUAUUGUUGGGGAACGUUGCAGAAAAUUAAAAAUUUUCCUACGGUUUCACCAAGAUCCAUCUAUGAGUUCAUCUAAGCAACGAGUCAAGGGAGAGAGUUUGCAUCUACAUACCACUUGUAGAUCGCGUGCGGAAGCUUGCAAGGUGAUGAUGUAGUCGUACUCGACGUGAUUCGAAUCACCGAUGACCAAGUGCUGAACGGACAGCACCUCCGCGUUCAACACACGUACGGGACGGGAGACGUCUCCUCCUUCUUGAUCCAGCAAGGGGGAAGGAGAGGUUGAGGAAGACAGCUCCACCGGCAGCACGACGGCGUGGUGAUGGUGGAGAGGCAGUACUCCGACAGGGCUUCGCCAAGCACACAACGGAGGAGGAGAGGUGUUGGGGAGGGGAGGGCUGCGCCUUGGAGGGUGGUACGGCUGCCCUCCCCUCACCCCUCUAUUUAUAGGGGGAAGGGAGAAGGGGGCCGGCCCCCUAGAACCCAUCUAGGGGGGGUGCGGCGGCCUAGGGGAGAGGGGAGAGGGUGGCUUGCCCCCCAAGCCAAGGGGGCGCCCCCUCUAGGGUUCCCCCCCUCAACCCUAGGCGCAUGGGCCCAAGGGAGGGGGUGCGGCCAGCCCACCAGGGGCUGGCUCCCUGCCCCACGCAGCCCAUGUGGCCCCCCCGGGAGGGGUGGCCCCUCCCGGUGGACCCCCGUGUUGGGUUUCGUAGUAAUUUCAAAAAUUUUCCUACGCACACGCAAGAUCAUGUGAUGCAUAGCAACGAGGGGAAGAGUAUUGCCUACGUACCCUACGCAGACCGACUGCGGAAGCGAUGACACGACGUAGAGGAAGUAGUCGUACGUCUUCACGAUCCAACCGAUCAAGCACCGAAACUACGGCACCUCCGAGUUCGAGCACACGUUCAGCUCGAUGACGAUCCCCGGACUCCGAUCCAGCAAAGUGUCGGGGAAGAGUUCCGUCAGCACGACGGCGUGGUGACGAUCUUGAUGAACUACAGCAGCAGGGCUUCGCCUAAACUCCGCUACAGUAUUAUCGAGGAAUAUGGUGGCAGGGGGCACCGCACACGGCUAAGGAAUCGAUCAUGUGGAUCAACUUGUGUCAACUUGUGUGUUUAGAGGUGCCCCUGCCUCAGUAUAUAAAGGAGCCAAGGGGGGGAGGAGGCGCCGGCCAGGAGGAGGUGGCGCAGGAGGAGUCCUACUCCUACCGGGAGUAGGACUCCCCUCCAAUCCUAUUCCAACUAGGAAUCCCCAAAGGGGGAAAGAGGAGAAGGGUGGCCGGCCACCUCUCCUAGUCCUAAUAGGACUAGGGGAAGGGGGGAGGCGCGCAGCCCCCUUGGGCUGCCCCUUUCUCCUUUCCACUAAGGCCCAUGAAGGCCCAUAUGGCUCCCGGGGGGUUCCGGUAACCUCCCGGUAACCCGGUAAAAUCCCGAUUUCACCCGGAACACUUCCGAUGUCCAAACAUAGGCUUCCAAUAUAUCAAUCUUUACGUCUCGACCAUUUCGAGACUCCUCGUCAUGUCCGUGAUCACAUCCGGGACUCCGAACAACCUUCGGUACAUCAAAAUGCAUAAACUCAUAAUAUAACUGUCAUCGUAACCUUAAGCGUGCGGACCCUACGGGUUCGAGAACAAUGUAGACAUGACCGAGACACGUCUCUGGUCAAUAACCAAUAGCGGGACCUGGAUGCCCAUAUUGGCUCCUACAUAUUCUACGAAGAUCUUUAUCGGUCAGACCGCAUAACAACAUACAUUGUUCCCUUUGUCAUCGGUAUGUUACUUGCCCGAGAUUCGAUCGUCGGUAUCCAAUACCUAGUUCAAUCUCGUUACCGGCAAGUCUCUUUACUCGUUCCGUAAUACAUCAUCUCACAACUAACAUAUUAGUUGCAGUGCUUGCAAGGCUUAUGUGAUGUGCAUUACCGAGAGGGCCCUGAGAUACCUCUCCGACAAUCGGAGUGACAAAUCCUAAUCUCGAAAUACGCCAACCCAACAUCUACCUUUGGAGACACCUGUAAUGCUCCUUUAUAAUCACCCAGUUACGUUGUGACGUUUGGUAGUACCCAAAGUGUUCCUCCGGUAAACGGGAGUUGCAUAAUCUCAUAGUCAUAGGAACAUGUAUAAGUCAUGAAGAAAGCAAUAGCAACAUACUAAACGAUCAGGUGCUAAGCUAAUGGAAUGGGUCAUGUCAAUCAGAUCAUUCAACUAAUGAUGUGACCUCGUUAAUCAAAUAACAACUCAUUGUUCAUGGUUAGGAAACAUAACCAUCUUUGAUUAACGAGCUAGUCAAGUAGAGGCAUACUAGUGACACUUUGUUUGUCUAUGUAUUCACACAUGUAUUAUGUUUCCGGUUAAUACAAUUCUAGCAUGAAUAAUAAACAUUUAUCAUGAAAUAAGGAAAUAAAUAAUAACUUUAUUAUUGCCUCUAGGGCAUAUUUCCUUCAGUCUCCCACUUGCACUAGAGUCAAUAAUCUAGUUCACAUUGUCAUGUGAUUUAACACCAAUAUUCAUAUCUGUAUAUGAUUAACACCCAUAGUUCACAUCAUCAUGUGACCAACACCCAAAGGGUUUACUAGAGUCAAUAAUCUAGUUCACAUCGCUAUGUGAUUAACAUCCAAAGAGUACUAAGGUGUGAUCAUGUUUUGCUCGUGAGAGAAGCUUAGUCAACGGGUCUGUCACAUUCAGAGCCGUAUGUAUUUUGCAAAUAUUCUAUGUCUAUAAUGCUCUGUGCGGAGCUACUCUAGCUAAUUGCUCCUACUUUCAAUAUGUAUCCAGAUUGAGACUUAGAGUCAUCUGGAUCAGUGUCAAACUUGCAUCGGCGUAACCCUUUACGACGAACCUUUUUCCAUAAUCGAGAAACAUAUCCUUAUUCCACUAAGGACAAUUUUGACCGCUCUCCAGUGAUCUUCUCCUAGAUCACUAUUGUACUCCCUUGCCAAACUCAGUGGUAUGGCAUACAAUAGAUCUGGUAUACAGCAUGGCAUACUUUAUAGAACCUAUGACUGAGGCAUAGGGAAUGACUUUCAUUCUCUUUCUAUUUUCUGCCGUGGUCGGGCUUUGAGUCUUACUCAACUUAACACCUUGCAACACAGGCAAGAACUCCUUCUUUGACUGUUCCAUUUUGAACUAUUUCAAAAAUUUAUCAAGGUAUGUAUUCAUUGAAAAAAUCUUAUCAAGCGUCUUCAUCUAUCUAUAUAGAUCUUGAUGCUCAAUGUGUAAGCAGCUUCACCAAGGUCUUUCUUUGAAAAACUUUUAUUCAAGUAUCCUUUCAUGCUUUGCAGAAUAAUUCUACAUUAUUUCCGAUCAACAAUAUGUCAUUCACAUAUACUUAUCAGAAAUGUUGUAGUGCUCCCACUCACUUUCUUGUAAAUACAGGCUUCACCGUAAGUCCAUAUAAAACUAUAUGCUUUGAUCAACUUAUCAAAGCGUAUAUUCCAACUCCGAGAUGCUUGCACCAGUCCAUAGAUGGAUCGCUGGAGCUUGCACAUUUUGUUAGCACCUUUAGGAUUGACAAAACCUUCUAGUUGCAUCAUAUACAACUCUUCUUCCAGAAAUCUAUUCAGGAAUGCAGUUUUGACAUCCAUCUACCAAAUUUCAUAAUCAUAAAAUGCGGCAAUUGCUAACAUGAUUCGGACGGACUUAAGCAUCGCUACGGGUGAGAAUGUCUCAUCGUAGUCAAUCCCUUGAACUUGUCAAAAACCUUUUGCGACAAGUCGAGCUUUGUAGACAGUAACAUUACCAUCAGCGUCAGUCUUCUUCUUAAAGAUCCAUUUAUUCUUAAUGACUCACCGAUCAUCGGGCAAGUCAAUCAAAGUCAACACUUUGUUCUCAUACAUGGAUCAUAUCUCAGAUUUCAUGGCCUCAAGCCAUUUCGUGGAAUCUGGGCUCAUCAUUGCUUCCUCAUAGUUCGUAGGUUCAUCAUGGUCUAGUAACAUGACUUCCAGAACAUGAUUACCGUACCACUCUGGUGCGGAUCUUACUCUGGAAGACCUACGAGGUUUGGUAGUAACUUGAUCUGAAGUUUGAUGAUCAUCAUCAUUAACUUCCUAACUUAUUGGUGUAGGAAUCACUGGAACUGAUUUCUGUGAUGAACUACUUUCCAAUAAGGGAGAAGGUAUAAUUACCUCAUCAAGUUCUACUCUCCUCCCACUCACUUCUUUCGAGAGAAACUCCUUCUCUGGAAAGGAUCCAUUUUAGCAACGAAUAUCUUGCCUCCAGAUCUGUGAUAGAAGGUGUACCCAACAAUUUCCUUUGGGUAUUCUAUGAAGACGCACUUCUCCGAUUUGGGUUCGAGCUUAUCAGGAUGAAACUUUUCCACAUAAGCAUCGCAGCCCCAAUCUUUAAGAAACGACAACUUGGGUUUCUUGCUAAACCAUAGUUCAUAUAGUGUCGUCUCAACGGAUUUAGAUGGUGCCCUUUUAACGUGAAUGCAUCUGUCUUUAAUGCAUAACCCCAAAAUGAUAGUGGUAGAUCGGUAAGAGACAUCAUAGAUCGCACCAUAUCUAAUAAAGUACGGUUAUGACGUUCGGACACACCAUUACAUUGUGGUGUUCCAGGUGGCGUGAGUUUGUGAAACUAUUCCACAUUGUUUUAAUUGAAGACCAAACUCGUAACUCAAAUAUUUGUCUCCGCGAUCAGAUCGUAGAAACUUUAUUUUCUUGUCACGAUGAUUUUCCACUUCACUCUGAAAUUCUUUGAACUUUUCAAAUGUUUCAGACUUAUGUUUCAUCAAGUAGAUAUACCCAUAUCUGCUCAAAUCAUCUAUGAAGUUCAGAAAAUAACGAUACUUGCCGUGAGCCUUAACACUCAUCGGACCGCAUACAUCAGUAUGUAUUAUUUCCAAUAAGUCAGUUGCUCGCUCCGGAGAACGGAGUCUUAGUCAUCUUGCCCAUGAGGCAUGGUUCGCAAGCAUCAAGUGAUUCAUAAUCAAGUGAUUCCGAAAAUCCAUCUUUAUGGAGUAUCUUCAUGCGCUUUACACCGAUAUGACCCAAACGGCUGUGCCACAAAUAAGUUGCACUAUCAUUAUUAACUUUGCAUCUUUUGGUUUCAAUAUUAUGAAUAUGUGUAUCACUACGAUCGAGAUCCAAUGAACCUUUUUCAUUGUGUGUGUAACCAUAUAAGGUUUUAUUCAUGUAAACAGAACAACAUUUUAUUCUCUUACUUAAAUGAAUUACCGUAUUGCAAUAAACAUGAUCAAAUCAUAUUCAUGUUCAACGCCAACACCAAAUAACACUUAUUUAGUUUCAACACUAAUCCCGAAAGUAUAGGGAGUGCGCGAUGAUCAUAUCAAUCUUGGAACUACUUCCAACACUCAUCGUCACUUCCCCUUCAACUAGUCUUUGUUUAUUCUGCAACUCCCGUUUCGAGUUUACUAAUCUUAGCAACUGAACUAGUAUCAAAUACUGAGGGGUUGCUAUAAACACUAGUAAAGUACACAUCAAUAACAUGUAUAUCAAAUAUACUUAUGUUCAUUUUGCCAUCCUUAUUAUCUGCCAAUCACUUGGGGUAGUUCCGCUUCCAGUGACCAGUCCCUUUGCAGUAGAAACACUUAGUCUCAGGCUUAGGACCAGACUUGGGCUUCUUCACUUUGAGCAGCAACUUGCUUGCUGUUCUUCUUGAAGUUCCCCUUCUUCCCUCUGCCCUUUUCUUGAAACUAGUGGUCUUUUCAAUCAUCAACACUUGAUGCUCUUUCUUGAUUUUUACCUUCGUUGAUUUCAAUAUCACGAAGAGCUCAGGAAUCAUUUUCGUCAUCCCUUGCAUACUAUAGUUCAUCACGAAGUUCAGUAACAUAGUGAUGGUGACUUGAGAAUUCUGUCAAUCACUAUCUUAUCUGGAAGAUUAACUCCCACUUGAUUCAAGCGAUUGAAGUACUCAGACAAUCUGAGCACAUGCUCACUAGUUGAGCGAUUCUCCGCUAUCUUUUAGCUAUAGAACUUGUUGGAGAUUUCAUAUCUCUCAACUCGGGUAUUUGCUUGAAAUACUAACUUCAAAUACUGGAACAUCUCAUAUGGUCCAUGAUGUUCAAAACAUCUUUGAAGUCCCGAUUCUAAGCCAUAAAGCAUGGUGCACAUAACUAUCCAGUAGUCAUCAUAUUGAGCUAGCCAAACGUUCAUAACGUUUGCAUUUGCUCCUGCAAUAGGUCCGUCACCUAGCGGUGCAUCAAGGACAUAAUUCUUCUGUGCAGCAAUGAGGAUAAACCUCAGAUCACGGAUCCAAUCCGCAUCUUUGCUACUAACAUCUUUCAACACAAUUUUCUCUAGGAACAUAUCAGAAUAAACAUAUGAAAGCAACAACGCGAGCUAUUGAUCUACAACAUAGAUAUGCUAAUACUAUCAGGACUAAGUUCAUGAUAAAUUAAAGUUCAAUUAAUCAUAUUACUAAAGAACUCCCACUUAGAUAGACAUCCCUCUAAUCCUCUAAGUGAUCACGUGAUCCAAAUCAACUAAACCAUGACCGAUCAUCACGUGAGAUGGAGUAGUUUUCAGUGGUGAACAUCGUUAUGUUGAUCAUAUCUACUAUAUGAUUCACGCUCGACCUUUCGGUCUCCGUGUUCCGAGGCCAUAUCUGCAUAUGCUAGGCUCGUCAAGUUUAACCUGAGUAUUCUGCGUGUGCAAAAACUGGCUUGCACCCGUUGUAGAUGGACGUAGAGCUUAUCACACCCGAUCAUCACGUGGUGUCUGGGCACGACGAACUUUGGCAACGGUGCAUACUCAGGGAGAACACUUCUUGAUAAUUUAGUGAGAGAUCAUCUUAUAAUGCUACCGUCAAUCAAAGCAAGAUAAGAUGCAUAAAAAGAUAAACAUCACAUGCAAUCAANNNNNNNNNNNNNNNNNNNNNNNNNNNNNNNNNNNNNNNNNNNNNNNNNNNNNNNNNNNNNNNNNNNNNNNNNNNNNNNNNNNNNNNNNNNNNNNNNNNNUGUUCCCCACAAUAUACCGGGGGUGCGCAUUAGGCGAUUCGAAGGAGUUUACUGUACAUAGAAGUAAUUUGUGGUUGUGCGAGUUAAACUACCUAUCUUGUGUUUUUACCUUAUAUAACAAGGAUGUCAUCAUGUGACAAAAACUUUCAUCUCAUUUUUUAUGUGCAAGAGUUUUGUGAAGAGGCCCACUUGGACUGCAGAAUUCCUAUAGGCUUUAUAAUCGAGAUCCAAGAUUUUUUUAUCCUUUUCCGUUUGACCAUUUCUUUGAAUCAAAAGAAUGAGUAUGUGAUGCCAUUUCUUAUGAAUUCAAGAGGCAUUACUGUUCCAACAUAUUCAAAGCACAUAUUCUGACUAUAGUUUGGUAGUCUGGAGCAAGAUUUCUCGCAAUAUUCGGAAGAAAACCUCCUCGAUGACUGCUCGUCAGAAGAAAUCCGACAACAUUGUGGUCUCUCCUAAAGUUGGAAUUAUCACUCGCGGCAGAAUGUCAAACGUAAAUGAUAUGGCUUCCUUGGAAACAAAUCACACUACAGUUCCAAGAGGUAUCUUUCUUACUUUCAUGUUGCAACUAUGAAGAUAAUUCUAAUGAAAAUAUUGCAUAUAAAUUAAUCUUUUGUCACAUAUGAUGAAAUACCAGGACAUUGUGUGACACCUACCUUCGAAAUAACCGUGCAGUCGGAUGAGGGGCUUAAUCUUUCUGUGGAUCUAAACUCCACUCAAUCAGAGUACACUAAAAUAUAUUCACAACAACUUGGGGAUGUUUCUAGAGAGGCUCAACUUGAAGCUCCAACAGAAAAUGCAGAGGUAGAAGAAAUGGCUGUGGAAGACAAUAUAGGUUGUGGCGACAUGUUACCACCAGUUCCUAGAGGGGAAGAAUUUAAAGCCCAGGUAGAAAAUGAAGAGAGGAAAGAAGUUUCGAUGGAAGAAGAAAUAGGUUGUGCUGACAAGUUGAUAGUUACUGAAGGGACCCAACUUACCCUUAGCAGGGACAAACAUGAAUCCCCUAUGAAAACUGAACUAGUCGCUCAAGAAGUAGUAAUGGAAGAAGAUAUAGGUUGUGACGAUAAUUUGCCAGGUUGAAAUCAAGUGCUGAUCUCACAUGCCAAUCAAGAUGCUGGCUUUACAAAUCAUUCUCCUAAUGAGGUCUUGAACCACACAAGCUCAAUGCUACCAUCUAUUGGUUCGGUAAUUUCAUUGAACCAUUUAUAGUACUAUUUUUUCCAUUUGAUUCUACUAUAUACUUUACUUCCUUUCAUCGAAGAAAUAUCGUCUUGGGUACUUUUUUUGAUCCAUUUUUGAUACUGCCGCAACACUGCAUGUUUCUUUUCACCAAACUAAAUAUUUACUUGUUACUCCCUUUGAUCCAACAUAAGUGUAGCUUUAAUUCAAACCUGCUGACACUUAUUAUGAAUCAGAGGGAGUACUAAUAAAAUGAAAAAGUUUAGCCUUUCAUUGUUUCUUCCCUUCUUUGAGUCCGAUAGUAUUGUGAAUUGCUUACUAGGUGUUAUUGUUGUUUGAUCACUCUUAUCUUUUUGUUGUUAGUUUCAAAUUGUUUUCAUUUUUCUUGUUUAACAAGUAGGUCUCGGUCAGCAAAAGAGUGCAUCAUCCUACCAUUAGAAAAAAAACAAAAAGAAAAAAUAGAAAUGAGAUAUGAUUUUGGUAGGAAUUAAUCAUUUUCAUGAUAUAUAGACUGUAUAUGGUAAAAGAACGCGUGUGUGCUUGUGCCUCGCUUCCACGCGCUCGCACAACACUGGCCAUCUUUGUCCAAUUGUCCUCUUUCCACUUUCUUCCAUUCCCUUCACAAGUGAGCGUGUUCCCUUGACCCUAAUUAACCCACCUAGCUAGGCACCCAACCGCCGUAGCAAGCCCCCAGAACCCUAGCUAGGUAUUGGCGAUCGAGGCAUAAUCAUUUAACCCCCGGACAUGGUGAAGAUGGUAACAAAGAUGAAGGGAGUGACUCCGUGGGCACAGGAGCAGCCCGGCACGGCCACAGAGAAGCAACUCAUCGUCAUGCAGGAGGUGAGUGGAUCACGCAUACACGUAGUUCUUUUUGGUUGGAUAGUUGGUAGAUCUGAUCGUGGUUUACGCAGACACUCAUAUUGCUUGGUUUUGGCUGCUCUAGUGGAUAGAUCGGACGGAGUUAAUUCUUAUUGUUGGGCUGCACUAGUCAAUCUAAAUCUGAUCGUGGUAGGGGAUCGAUAGAUCUGAGAUGAAUCAGACAUAGAAAUGCUCUCACGCGGCUAGUUUGAUUUGAUGAUUACUCGAUCGUGCGACUAUGGGAGGUCCUCGGCGUCCGAAUUUUGCCGCCGCAACUUUGCUCGAGUGCAUCCUAGUUGGUCUUCUGAUGCGUCCUAUUGGUGGCGGCUGUCCAGGCAUACCCUCCGCAAGUGGUGGCGGCGAUGCACUGACGAGUAGGAAGAAAGGAUGCGUCGGGUGCAGGAGGAAGAAGGUGGUGGUCCUAAAAGAUAUAUAUUAUACUCCCUCCGUCCCGAAUUACUUGUCUAGAAAUGGAUGUAUCUAGAGCUAAAAAUAUGUCUAGAUACAUCCAUUCUUGCGAGAAGUAAUUUGUGACAGAGGGAGUACUAUGAAAAUAUAUUAUUUGUACAUUAGGAAAAUGGGUAGCAUGAACCUCAAGUAACUAGCUUCCACUUGGAUUCUACUUUGAAACCCUUUGUGGUUGCUGCCUGGGAAGAGGUCGACUUUGACCUGACACUCUAGCCACUCGUCGUACACUCCCAGAACCCUCCCUAUGUACACAGCAUAGCACUCCUUGGUCAUCGAUCUAUAUCCCUAACAGAGUUGCAUCGUCAUCAGCCAAAUUCAUCGAUAAUAUGCAACAUGAUAUACGUAAGCAACUCGAAGAGAAAGAGUUAGCAAAGAGAAGCAACAUAUAGUAAACAUAAUUAACAAAGUGCAGCAAUGAGGAUAAACCUCAGAUCACGGAUCCAAUCCGCAUCUUUGCUACUAACAUCUUUCAACACAAUUUUCUCUAGGAACAUAUCAGAAUAAACAUAUGAAAGCAACAACGCGAGCUAUUGAUCUACAACAUAGAUAUGCUAAUACUAUCAGGACUAAGUUCAUGAUAAAUUAAAGUUCAAUUAAUCAUAUUACUAAAGAACUCCCACUUAGAUAGACAUCCCUCUAAUCCUCUAAGUGAUCACGUGAUCCAAAUCAACUAAACCAUGACCGAUCAUCACGUGAGAUGGAGUAGUUUUCAGUGGUGAACAUCGUUAUGUUGAUCAUAUCUACUAUAUGAUUCACGCUCGACCUUUCGGUCUCCGUGUUCCGAGGCCAUAUCUGCAUAUGCUAGGCUCGUCAAGUUUAACCUGAGUAUUCUGCGUGUGCAAAAACUGGCUUGCACCCGUUGUAGAUGGACGUAGAGCUUAUCACACCCGAUCAUCACGUGGUGUCUGGGCACGACGAACUUUGGCAACGGUGCAUACUCAGGGAGAACACUUCUUGAUAAUUUAGUGAGAGAUCAUCUUAUAAUGCUACCGUCAAUCAAAGCAAGAUAAGAUGCAUAAAAAGAUAAACAUCACAUGCAAUCAAUAUAAGUGAUAUGAUAUGGCCAUCAUCAUCUCGUGCUUGUGAUCUCCAUCUCUGAAGCACCGUCAUGAUCACCAUCGUCACCGGCGCGACACCUUGAUCUCCAUCGUAGCAUCGUUGUCGUCCCGCCAAUCUUAUGCUUCCACGACUAUCACUACCGUUUAGUAAUAAAGUAAAGCAUUACAUCGCGAUUGCAUUGCAUACAAUAAAGCGACAACCAUAUGGCUCCUGCCAGUUGCCGAUAACUCGGUUACAAAACAUGAUCAUCUCAUACAAUAAAAUUCAGCAUCAUGCCUUGACCAUAUCACAUCACAACAUGCCCUGCAAAAACAAGUUAGAUGUCCUCUACUUUGUUGUUGCAUGUUUUACGUGGCUGCUACGGGCUUAAGUAAGAACCAAUCUCACCUACGCAUCAAAACCACAACGAUAGUUUGUCAAAUAGACUCCGUUUUAACCUUCGCAAGGACCGGGCGUAGCCAUACUUGGUUCAACUAAAGUUGGAGAGGCAGUCGCCCGCAAGCCAUCUCUGUGCAAAGCACGUCGAGGGAACCGGUCUCGCGUAAGCGUACGCGUAAGGUUGGUCCGGGUCGUCUCGUCCAACAAUACCGCCGAACCAAAGUAUGACAUGCUGGUAGGCAGUAUGACUUGUAUCGUCCACAACUUACUUGUGUUCUACUCGUGCAUAUAACAUCAACAUCAAUAACCUAGGCUCUGAUACCACUGUUGGGUUUCGUAGUAAUUUCAAAAAUUUUCCUACGCGCACACAGGAUCAUGUGAUGCAUAGCAACGAGAGGAGAGUGUUGUCUACGUACCCAACGCAGACCGACUGCGGAAGCGAUGACACGACGUAGAGGAAGUAGUCGUACGUCUUCACGAUCCAACCGAUCAAGCACCGAAACUACGGCACCUCCGAGUUCGAGCACACGUUCAGCUCGAUGACGAUCCCCGGACUCCGAUCCAGCAAAGUGUCAGGGAAGAGUUUCGUCAGCACGACGGCGUGGUGACGAUCUUGAUGAACUACAGCAGCAGGGCUUCGCCUAAACUCCGCUACAGUAUUAUCGAGGAAUAUGGUGGCAGGGGGCACCGCACACGGCUAAGGAAUCGAUCACGUGGAUCAACUUGUGUCAACUUGUGUGUUUAGAGGUGCCCCUGCCUCAGUAUAUAAAGGAGCCAAGGGGGGGAGGAGGCGCCGGCCAGGAGGAGGUGGCGCAGGAGGAGUCCGAUGUCCAAACAUAGACUUCCAAUAUAUCAAUCUUUAUGUCUCGACCAUUUCGAGACUCCUCGUCAUGUCCGUGAUCACAUCCGGGACUCCGAACAACCUUCGGUACAUCAAAAUGCAUAAACUCAUAAUAUAACUGUCAUCGUAACCUUAAGCGUGCGGACCCUACGGGUUCGAGAACAAUGUAGACAUGACCGAGACACGUCUCUGGUCAAUAACCAAUAGCGGGACCUGGAUGCCCAUAUUGGCUCCUACAUAUUCUACGAAGAUCUUUAUCGGUCAGACCGCAUAACAACAUACGUUGUUCCCUUUGUCAUCGGUAUGUUACUUGCCCGAGAUUCGAUCGUCGGUAUCCAAUACCUAGUUCAAUCUCGUUACCGGCAAGUCUCUUUACUCGUUCCGUAAUACAUCAUCUCACAACUAACAUAUUAGUUGUAAUGCUUGCAAGGCUUAUGUGAUGUGUAUUACCGAGAGGGCCCAGAGAUACCUCUCCAACAAUUGGAGUGACAAAUCCUAAUCUCGAAAUACGCCAACCCAACAUCGACCAUUGGAGACACCUGUAGUACUCCUUUAUAAUCACCCAGUUACGUUGUGACGUUUGGUAGUACCCAAAGUAUUCCUCCGGUAAACGGGAGUUGCAUAAUCUCAUAGUCAUAGGAACAUGUAUAAGUCAUGAAGAAAGCAAUAGCAACAUACUAAACGAUCAGGUGCUAAGCUAAUGGAAUGGGUCAUGUCAAUCAGAUCAUUCAACUAAUGAUGUGACCUCGUUAAUCAAAUAACAACUCAUUGUUCAUGGUUAGGAAACAUAACCAUCUUUGAUUAACGAGCUAGUCAAGUAGAGGCAUACUAGUGACACUUUGUUUGUCUAUGUAUUCACACAUGUAUUAUGUUUCCGGUUAAUACAAUUCUAGCAUGAAUAAUAAACAUUUAUCAUGAAAUAAGGAAAUAAAUAAUAACUUUAUUAUUGCCUCUAGGGCAUAUUUCCUUCACCCCGGAACCCUUCCGGUGGCCCCGGUACAAUACCGGUAUGACCCCGAAACUUCCCGGUGUCUGUUUGACAACUUCCCAUAUAUAAAUCUUUACCUCCGGAUCCUUCCGGAUCUCCUCGUGACGUCCAGGAUCCCAUCCGGGACUCCGAACAACAUUCGGUAGUCACAUACUAGUCUUCCUAAUAACCCUAGCGUCACCGAACCUUAAGUGUGUAGACCCUACGGGUUCGGGAGACAUGCAGACAUGACCGAGACGCUCUCAGUCAAUAACCAAUAGCGGGAUCUGGAUACCCAUGAUGGCUCCCACAUGCUCCUCGAUGUUGUCAUCGGAUGAACCACGAUGUCGAGGAUUCGAUCAAACCCUGUAUGCAAUCCCCUUUGUCAAUCGGUACGUUACUUGCCCGAGACUCGAUCGUCGGUAUCCCAAUACCUUGUUCAGUCUCGUUACCGGCAAGUCACUUUACUCGUACCGUAAUGCAUGAUCCCGUGUCCAACACCUUGGUCACAUUGAGCUCAUUAUGAUGAUGCAUUACCGAGUGGGCCCAGAGAUACCUCUCCGUCAUACGGAGUGACAAAUCCCAGUCUCGAUCCGUGUCAACCCAACAGCUACUUUCGGAGAUACCUGUAAUGCACCUUUAUAGUCACCCAGUUACGUUGUGACGUUUGAUACACCCAAGGCACUCUUACGGUAUCCGGGAGUUACACGAUCUCAUGGUCGAAGGAAGAGAUACUUGACACUAGCAAAGCUCUAGCAAAAUGAACUACACGAUCUUUUAUGCUAUGCUUAGGAUUGGGUCUUGUCCAUCACAUCAUUCUCCUAAUGAUGUGAUCCCGUUAUCAAUGACAUCCAAUGUCCAUAGUCAGGAAACCAUGACUAUCUGUUGAUCACAACGAGCUGGUCAACUAGAGGCUCACCAGGGACAUAUUGUGGUCUAAGUAUUCACACGUGUAUUACGAUUUCCGGAUAAUACAGUUAUAGCAUGAAUAAAAGACAUUUAUCAUGAACAUUGAAAUAUAAUAAUACUUUUAUUAUUGCCUCUAGGGCAUAUUUCCAACAGUCUCCCACUUGCACUAGAGUCACCAAUCUAGUUACAUUGUGAUGAAUCGAACACCCAUAGAGUUCUGGUGUUGAUCAUGUUUUGCACGCGAGAGAGGUUUAGUCAGCGGAUCUGCGACAUUCAGAUCCGUGUGCACUUUGCAAAUCUCUAUAUCUCCAUCUUGAACAUUUUCACGGAUAGAGUUGAAACGACGCUUGAUGUGCCUGGUCUUCUUGUGAAACCUGGGCUCCUUGGCGAGGGCAAUAGCUCCAGUGUUGUCACAGAAGAGUUUGAUCGGCCCCGACGCAUUGGGUAUGACUCCUAGGUCGGUGAUGAACUCCUUCACCCAGAUCGCUUCAUGCGCUGCCUCCGAGGCUGCCAUGUACUCCGCUUCACACGUAGAUCCCGCCACGACGCUCUGCUUGCAGCUGCACCAGCUUACUGCUCCACCAUUCAACAUAUACACGUAUCCGGUUUGUGACUUAGAGUCAUCCAGAUCUGAGUCGAAGCUAGCGUCGACGUAACCCUUUACGAUGAGCUCUUCGUCUCUUCCGUAAACGAGAAACAUGUCCUUCGUCCUUUUCAGGUACUUCAGGAUAUUCUUGACCGCUGUCCAGUGUUCCUUGCCGGGAUUACUUUGGUAUCUUGCUACCAAACUUACGGCAAGGUUUACAUCGGGUCUGGUACACAGCAUGGCAUACAUAAUAGAUCCUAUGGCUGAAGCAUAGGGGAUGACACUCAUCUCUUCUUUAUCUUUUGCCGUGGUCGGUGACUGAGCCGAGCUCAAUCUCACACCUUGUAACAUAGGCAAGAACCCCUUCUUGGAUUGAUCCAUUUUGAACCUCUUCAAAAUCUUAUCAAGGUAUGUGCUUUGUGAAAGACCUAUGAGGCGUCUCGAUCUAUCUCUAUAGAUCUUGAUGCCUAAUAUAUAAGCAGCUUCUCCAAGGUCCUUCAUUGAAAAACACUUAUUCAAGUAGGCCUUAAUGCUGUCCAGAAAUUCUAUAUUAUUUCCCAUCAAGAGUAUGUCAUCUACAUAUAAUAUGAGAAAUGCUACAGAGCUCCCACUCACUUUCUUGUAAACGCAGGCUUCUCCAUAAGUCUGCAUAAACCCAAACGCUUUGAUCAUCUCAUCAAAGCGAAUGUUCCAACUCCGAGAUGCUUGCACCAGUCCAUAAAUGGAUCGCUGGAGCUUGCAUACUUUGUUAGCGUUCCGAGGAUCGACAAAACCUUCCAGCUGCAUCAUAUACAGUUCUUCCUUAAGAUUCCCAUUAAGGAAUGCCGUUUUGACGUCCAUUUGCCAUAUCUCAUAAUCAUAGUAUGCGGCAAUUGCUAACAUGAUUCGGACGGACUUCAGCUUCGCUACGGGAGAGAAAGUCUCGUCGUAGUCAAUCCCUUGAACUUGUCGAUAACCCUGAGCGACAAGUCGAGCCUUAUAGAUUGUAACAUUACCAUCCGCGUCCGUCUUCUUCUUAAAGAUCCAUUUGUUUUCUAUCGCUCGCCGAUCAUCGGGCAAGUUUGUCAAAGUCCAUACUUUGUUUUCAUACAUGGAUUCUAUCUCAGAUUUCAUGGCUUCAAGCCAUUUGUUGGAAUCCGGGCCCGCCAUCGCUUCUUCAUAGUUCAAAGGUUCAUUGUUGUCUAACAACAUGAUUUCCAGGACAGGGUUGCCGUACCACUCUGGUGCGGAACGUGUCCUUGUGGACCUACGAAGUUCAGCAGUAACUUGAUCCAAAGUACCUUGAUCAUCAUCAUUGUUUUCCUCUUCAGUCGGUGUGGGCAUCACAGGAACGGUUUCCUGCGCUGCGCCACUUUCCCGCUCAAGAGGUAGUACUUCAUCGAGUUCUACUUUCCUCCCACUUACUUCUUUCGAGAGAAACUCUUUUUCCAGAAAGCAUCCGUUCUUGGCAACAAAGAUCUUGCCUUCGGAUCUUAAGUAGAAGGUAUACCCGACAGUUUCCUUAGGGUAUCCUAUGAAUACACAUUUUUUCGACUUGGGUUCGAGCUUUUCAGGUUGAAGUUUCUUGACAUAAGCAUCGCAUCCCCAAAACUUUUAGAAACGACAGCUUAGGUUUCUUUCCAAACCAUAAUUCAUACGGUGUCGUCUCAACGGAUUUAGACGGUGCCCUAUUUAAAGUGAAUGUAGCUGUCUCUAGAGCGUAUCCCCAAAAUGAUAGCGGUAAAUCGGUAUGAGACAUCAUAGACCGCACCAUAUCCAAUAGGGUGCGAUUACGACGUUCGGACACACCGUUUCGCUGAGGUGUUCCAGGCGGCGUGAGCUGUGAAACGAUUCCACAUUUCCUUAAGUGUGUACCAAAUUCGUGACUUAAGUAUUCUCCUCCACGAUCUGAUCAUAAGAAUUUUAUCUUUCGGUCACGUUGAUUCUCUACCUCAUUCUGAAAUCCUUGAACUUUUCAAAGGUCUCAGACUUGUGUUUCAUUAAGUAGACAUACCCAUAUCUACUCAAGUCAUCUGUGAGAGUGAGAACAUAACGAUAUCCUCCGCGAGCCUCAACGCUCAUUGGACCGCACACAUCGGUAUGUAUAAUUUCCAACAAGUUGGUUGCUCGCUCGAUUGUUCCGGAGAACAGAGUCUUGGUCAUUUUGCCCAAAAGGCAUGGUUCGCACGUGUCAAACGAUUCAUAAUCAAGAGACUCUAAAAGUCCAUCGGCAUGGAGCUUCUUCAUGCGCUUGACACCAAUGUGACCAAGGCGGCAGUGCCACAAGUAUGUGGGACUAUCGUUAUCAACUUUAAAUCUUUUGGCAUCUACACUAUGAACAUGUGUAAUAUUACGCUCGAGAUUCAUUAAGAAUAAACCAUUGACCAUCGGAGCAUGACCAUAAAACAUAUCUCUCAUAUAAAUCGAACAACCAUUAUUCUCAGACUUAAAUGAGUAGCCAUCUCGUAUUAAACGAGAUCCAGAUACAAUGUUCAUGCUCAAACUUGGCACUAAAUAACAAUUAUUAAGGUUCAAAACUAAUCCCGUAGGUAAAUGUAGAGGCAGCGUGCCGACGGCGAUCACAUCGACUCUGGAACCAUUCCCGACGCGCAUCGUCACCUCGUCCUUCGCCAGUNNNNNNNNNNNNNNNNNNNNNNNNNNNNNNNNNNNNNNNNNNNNNNNNNNNNNNNNNNNNNNNNNNNNNNNNNNNNNNNNNNNNNNNNNNNNNNNNNNNNNNNNNNNNNNNNNNNNNNNNNNNNNNNNNNNNNNNNNNNNNNNNNNNNNNNNNNNNNNNNNNNNNNNNNNNNNNNNNNNNNNNNNNNNNNNNNNNNNNNNNNNNNNNNNNNNNNNNNNNNNNNNNNNNNNNNNNNNNNNNNNNNNNNNNNNNNNNNNNNNNNNNNNNNNNNNNNNNNNNNNNNNNNNNNNNNNNNNNNNNNNNNNNNNNNNNNNNNNNNNNNNNNNNNNNNNNNNNNNNNNNNNNNNNNNNNNNNNNNNNNNNNNNNNNNNNNNNNNNNNNNNNNNNNNNNNNNNNNNNNNNNNNNNNNNNNNNNNNNNNNNNNNNNNNNNNNNNNNNNNNNNNNNNNNNNNNNNNNNNNNNNNNNNNNNNNNNNNNNNNNNNNNNNNNNNNNNNNNNNNNNNNNNNNNNNNNNNNNNNNNNNNNNNNNNNNNNNNNNNNNNNNNNNNNNNNNNNNNNNNNNNNNNNNNNNNNNNNNNNNNNNNNNNNNNNNNNNNNNNNNNNNNNNNNNNNNNNNNNNNNNNNNNNNNNNNNNNNNNNNNNNNNNNNNNNNNNNNNNNNNNNNNNNNNNNNNNNNNNNNNNNNNNNNNNNNNNNNNNNNNNNNNNNNNNNNNNNNNNNNNNNNNNNNNNNNNNNNNNNNNNNNNNNNNNNNNNNNNNNNNNNNNNNNNNNNNNNNNNNNNNNNNNNNNNNNNNNNNNNNNNNNNNNNNNNNNNNNNNNNNNNNNNNNNNNNNNNNNNNNNNNNNNNNNNNNNNNNNNNNNNNNNNNNNNNNNNNNNNNNNNNNNNNNNNNNNNNNNNNNNNNNNNNNNNNNNNNNNNNNNNNNNNNNNNNNNNNNNNNNNNNNNNNNNNNNNNNNNNNNNNNNNNNNNNNNNNNNNNNNNNNNNNNNNNNNNNNNNNNNNNNNNNNNNNNNNNNNNNNNNNNNNNNNNNNNNNNNNNNNNNNNNNNNNNNNNNNNNNNNNNNNNNNNNNNNNNNNNNNNNNNNNNNNNNNNNNNNNNNNNNNNNNNNNGAGUUACUACGAGUACUGGUAAUGUACACAUCAAUCACAUGUAUAUCAAAUAUACCUUUGGUGUUGCCGGCCUUCUUAUCCGCUAAGUAUUUGGGGCAGUUCCGCUUCUAGUGACCCUUCCCCUUGCAAUAAAAGCACUCAGUCUCAGGCUUGGGUCCAUUCUUUGACUUCUUCCCGGUAACUGGCUUACCAGGCGCGGCAACAUCUUUGCCGUCCUUCUUGAAGUUCUUCUUACCCUUGCCCUUCUUGAACUUAGUGGUCUUAUUGACCAUCAACACUUGAUGUUCUUUCUUGAUUUCAACCUCUGCUGACUUCAGCAUCGAGAACACUUCAGGAAUGGUCUUUUCCAUCCCCUGCAUGUUGUAGUUCAUCACAAAGCUCUUGUAGCUUGGUGGGAGCGACUGGAGGAUUCUGUCAAUGACCGCCUCAUCUGGGAGGUUAAUGUUCAGCUGGGUCAUACGGCUGUGCAACCCAGACAUCUUCAGGAUGUGCUCACUGACAGAACUGUUUUCCUCCAUCUUACAACUGUAGAACUUGUCGGAGACGUCAUAUCUCUCGACCCGGGCAUGAGCUUGAAAAACUAGUUUCAGCUCUUCGAACAUCUCAUAUGCUCCGUGGUGUUCAAAACGCUUUUGGAACCCCGGUUCUAAGCUGUAAAGCAUGCCGCACUGAACGAGGGAGUAAUCAUCAGCACGAGACUGCCAAGCAUUCAUAAUGUCUUGGUUCUCUGGGACGGGAGCGUCACCUAGCGGUCCUUCUAGGACCUAUUGUUUCCUGGAAGCUAUGAGGAUGAUCCUCAGGUUCCGGACCCAGUCCGUAUAGUUGCUGCCAUCAUCUUUCAGCUUGGUUUUCUCUAGGAACGCGUUGAAGUUCAUGUUGACAUUAGCGUUGGCCAUUGAUCUACAAGACAUAUUUGCAAAGGUUUUAGACUAAGUUCAUGAUAAUAAAGUUCUAAUCAAAUUAUGAACUCCCACUUAGAUUAGACAUCCCUCUAGUCAUCUAAGUGUUACACGAUCCGAGUCGACUAGCCCGUGUCCGAUCAUCACGUGAGACGGACUAGUCAUCGUCGGUGAACAUUCUCAUGUUGAUCGUAUCUUCCAUACGAUUCGUGUUCGACCUUUCGGUCUCCGUGUUCCGAGGCCAUGUCUGCACAUGCUAGGCUCGUCAAGUGAACCCUAAGUGUUUUUGCUGUGUAAAACUGUCUUACACCCGUUGUAUGUGAACGUAAGAAUCCAUCACACCCGAUCAUCACGUGGUGCUUAGAAGCGACGAACUGUAGCAAUGGUGCACAGUUAGGGGAGAACACUUCUUGAAAUUUUAUAAGGGAUCAUCUUAUUUACUACCGUCGUCCUAAGUAAACAAGAUGCAUAAUACACAAUAAACAUCACAUGCAAUUAUAUAGUUGUGACAUGAUAUGGCCAAUAUCAUAUAGCUCCAUUGAUCUUCAUCUUCGGGGCUCCAUGAUCAUCUUGUCACCGUCUUGACACCAUGAUCUCCAUCAUCAUGAUCUCCAUCAUCGUGUCUUCAUGAAGUUGUCACGCCAACGACUACUUCUACUUCUAUGACUAACGUUUAGCAAUAAAGUAAAGUAGUUUACAUGGCGUUAUUCAAUGACACGCAGGUCAUACAAAAAAUAAAGACAACUCCUAUGGCUCCUGCCGGUUGUCAUACUCCUCGACAUGCAAGUCGUGAAUCCUAUUACAAAGAACAUGAUCUCAUACAUCACAAUUCAUCAUUCAUCACAACUUCUGGCCAUAUCACAUCACAUGAUCAAUCGCUGCAAAAACAAGUUAGACGUCCUCUAAUUGUUGUUGCAUCUUUUACGUGGCUGCAAUUGGGUUCUAGCAAGAAUGUUUUCUUACCUACGAAUCACCACAACGUGAUUUUGUCAACUUCUAUUUACCCUUCAUAAGGGCCCUGUUCAUCGAUUCCGCUCCAACUAAAGUGGGAGAGACAGACACCCGCCAGCCACCUUAUGCAACUAGUGCAUGUUAGUCGGUGGAACCGGUCUCACGUAAGCGUACGUGUAAGGUUGGUCCGGGCCGCUUCAUCCCACAAUACCGUUGAGCAAGAAAAGACUAGUAGAGGCAAGUAAGAUGACAAAAUCCACGCCCACAACAAAAUUGUGUUCUACUCGUGCAAAGAGAACUACGCAUAGACCUAGCUCAUGAUGCCACUGUUGGGGAACGUUGUAGAAAACUAAAAAUUUUCCUACGGUUUCACCAAGAUCCAUCUAUGAGUUCAUCUAAUCAACGAGUCAAGGGAGAGAGUUUGCAUCUACAUACCACUUGUAGAUCGCGUGCGGAAGCUUGCAAGGUGAUGAUGUAGUCGUACUCGACGUGAUUCGAAUCACCGAUGACCAAGUGCUGAACAGACAGCACCUCCGCGUUCAACACACGUACGGGACGGGAGACGUCUCCUCCUUCUUGAUCCAGCAAGGGGGAAGGAGAGGUUGAUGAAGACAGCUCCACCGGCAGCACGACGACGUGGUGAUGGUGGAGAGGCAGUACUCCGACAGGGCUUCGCCAAGCACACAACGGAGGAGGAGAGGUAUUGGGGAGGGGAGGGCUGCGCCUUGGAGGGUGGUACGGCUGCCCUCCCCUCACCCCUCUAUUUAUAGGGGGAAGGGAGAGGGGGCCGGCCCCCUAGAACCCAUCUAGGGGGGGUGCGGCGGCCUAGGGGAGAGGGGAGAGGGUGGCUUGCCCCCCAAGCCAAGGGGGCGCCCCCUCUAGGGUUCCCCCCCUCAACGCUAGGCGCAUGGGCCCAAGGGAGGGGGUGCGGCCAGCCCACCAGGGGCUGGCUCCCUGCCCCACGCAGCCCAUGUGGCCCCCCCCGGGAGGGGUGGCCCCUCCCGGUGGACCCCCGGAACCCUUCCGGUGGCCCCGGUACAAUACCGGUAUGACCCCGAAACUUCCCGGUGUCUGUUUGACAACUUCCCAUAUAUAAAUCUUUACCUCCGGAUCCUUCCGGAUCUCCUCGUGACGUCCAGGAUCCCAUCCGGGACUCCGAACAACAUUCGGUAGUCACAUACUAGUCUUCCUAAUAACCCUAGCGUCACCGAACCUUAAGUGUGUAGACCCUACGGGUUCGGGAGACAUGCAGACAUGACCGAGACGCUCUCAGUCAAUAACCAACAGCGGGAUCUGGAUACCCAUGAUGGCUCCCACAUGCUCCUCGAUGUUGUCAUCGGAUGAACCACGAUGUCGAGGAUUCGAUCAAACCCUGUAUGCAAUCCCCUUUGUCAAUCGGUACGUUACUUGCCGGAGACUCGAUCGUCGGUAUCCCAAUACCUUGUUCAGUCUCGUUAUCGGCAAGUCACUUUACUCGUACCGUAAUGCAUGAUCCCGUGUCCAACACCUUGGUCACAUUGAGCUCAUUAUGAUGAUGCAUUACCGAGUGGGCCCAGAGAUACCUCUCCGUCAUACGGAGUGACAAAUCCCAGUCUCGAUCCGUGUCAACCCAACAACUACUUUCGGAGAUACCUGUAAUGCACCUUUAUAGUCACCCAGUUACGUUGUGACAUUUGAUACACCCAAGGCACUCUUACGGUAUCCGGGAGUUACACGAUCUCAUGGUCGAAGGAAGAGAUACUUGACACUGGCAAAGCUCUAGCAAAACGAACUACACGAUCUUUUAUGCUAUGCUUAGGAUUGGGUCUUGUCCAUCACAUCAUUCUCCUAAUGAUGUGAUCCCGUUAUCAAUGACAUCCAAUGUCCAUAGUCAGGAAACCAUGACUAUCUGUUGAUCACAACGAGCUGGUCAACUAGAGGCUCACCAGGGACAUAUUGUGGUCUAAGUAUUCACACGUGUAUUACGAUUUCCGGAUAAUACAAUUAUAGCAUGAAUAAAAGACAUUUAUCAUGAACAUUGAAAUAUAAUAAUACUUUUAUUAUUGCCUCUAGGGCAUAUUUCCAACAGAUAUCUUCAAUAACUCAGCUUGGAAUCAGGUCAUUUGCUUGUCCUUCUUUGGAUGCUUUCUUGUGUGUUUAUGAUAUGACAUUUCACUUCAGAUUCUUCACCAUCGUAGAGUUUCAUAGAUCAUCGUGCCUUAAUUUCAUCAAAACAGCCUCGCAAUCUCCAUUCUUGUUCUUGAUUUAUUAACUUUUUAUUGAUCUUGGUUUUACCUCGUAACCAACUUCUUCCUUGCGAGUGCCUUUUUCUACCGAUGAGGAAUUAAGGCCAAAUAUUCAUAAUUAUACUGAAGUAUGUUUUUUUUUGUUGUUGCAACAGAGAUACCUUGUGGUAACACGAUCACCAAUUCUUGGGGGCCUUGCGGCAAUGCGCGACUCAGAAAUAGAUUACACAGUUGAGGCCAUUAUGGUGAACCCUUAGAAUGAAAGCCCCUGGAGAUACCUCAGAGGUUUAUAUAAGGAUGAUAACAAUUUGCUGGUGGCUCCUAAUCGCAUUUCUGAUGCUUGCCUCAAGGUCCUGAAUAAGGACUAGACAUGUGUAUUUGCUUUGAGCUUCCUGCUUGAUCUUCUUCGCAUGGGUUUGUAGCCUUCAGAUGAUCUUAAAGGAACCAUUGAAGCAAUGGAGAACUCUGAUCCUGAAACGGGACAUGCUGAUAUUGCAGUAGCUGUCUGCUCAAUUCUGCAGAAAUGUGAUCCCCUGCAGAUAAACUACUGGUCAUGGUACCAGACCACUCUUUCUUCUUAGACAUUUGAAAAUUCAGCUGAAGAUAGUUUUAGCAGCAUGAUGUAAACUCAAUCGAAGGGGUUGACGCAGUGUAUGAAAAACCUUUCCUGUGAUCUUGGCGCGGAGCAAAAUUUGUACUGAUUUUACCGGGAAAAAUCAAUCAAUGACAGCAUGCCCAACAAUGUCUUGUGUGAAUAUGUUAGUGCCUGAUAUUCACAUGUUAGCAGAAUGAGAAUAAACAACCAAACUCCAAUGAGCAGAUUGUUACAGUAACGGCCACUGGUGGUGUGAAAAUCCUGAAAUCUGCUUCAGUCACUUUGCCUUGUUUACAGUUGAGUCUGUUGUUGUGAUCUGUACCUAAUGCAUGUACACGAUCAUCAAAUUAUUAGUUUUUGUACCAAUGUGUGCUCGAUGUAAUCAUCCUGUAUUCCCUCCUUCCAAAAUACGAGUAAUAUAUAUUAGUUUUGUCUUAAUUUGAACUUACAUCAACACCUACAAUACCCAAUCAGUAUCAGUAGAUGCACCUGUUUUUGUAGUGUAUUUAUUUGGUAUUGUAAGUGCUUGUAUUUCUCUUUUUUUUNNNNNNNNNNUUUUUUUUGCCGAACUUUUAUGAUUGACUUAAAGACAACUAAUACGACUUAUAUUUGGGACGGCGGAAUCAUGCUCUGCACAUGUUUUUAGUCAUGUACUCACACAUUAUUGUCAGUUUAUAUUUUGUUUCCCUAUGUUUUAGACACAUUUAUUUGAACUUGUUUGGGUGGUGGGUUCCAUUUUCCCAAGUUUAUAGCACCUUUUUGGUUUGUUUUGUUAAUUUAAUGACGGAUUUUUCCUUGUCUCACUAGGUUUUCUGGCUCUUAUCAUUGACUACACCAUAUACUUCCUCCUUUUCUUUUUUACUAUGCAUAUUAGAUUUCUCUAAAGUUAAAUUCGUAAAGUUCGUCCAAAUUUAAAUUAAAAAAUAUCAGGAUUUACAACAUCAAAUAAAUAUGAUCUGAACAUAUAGAAGGAACAUAUAUUCCACGAUGGAUUUGAUUAUAUUAAUUUUGUAUUGCAAAUGUUAUUAAUAUAAAUUUGAUCCAACUUUGAAGAGUUCAACUUUAGACAACGGUGUAAAAAGAAAAGAAAUAGAAGGAGUAUUGUAACUAUUCUUGCACCCUCAUGGGAGGCUGCCACAAUGCGACUGCUGUUCUCGAAGUGAAGCACAUCAUCACCUUUCCUUAUUGUGGGACCUUGUAGCAGUUUUUGUCGAGAAAUGAGUUGUUUGGAUUAAGGAGCUAGGUGAUUCUAGUUUCUCCUGGUAGCUUUUUCGAGCCUUCGGUUUCCCUUUAAAUUUGAUCAGAGAUUAUAUUUCCAAUUGUGAUUCAUGUGAACAUACUUUUGUUUUCUUAAUCAAAUAAUACUAGGGGAUGUGCAUAUCAUGAGAUCCCCUAAACUAUUCCUCUCUGCAUAUAUUCUAAGCUGGCACCAAUAAAAGAUUCCUAAUCAAGGCAGCGAAAAAACAGAAAGAAGAAGGGAAUUAAAACAUGACUUUCUUGUGCUUCCAACAAACAAACGCGCUUUCCCUCUCUAAAAAGGAACAAACAAACGCGCCCCCAUAAAAAUUUCCCCAACUUACCCUAGCCCGUCCCUUUCCUCAUCUCCAUCGUCAUUUCCCUCUCAUCCUCCACCAACUCUCCAUCUCCAAUGACAUUUCUUCUCCUAUGCUCGGUCUCCUCCCAGCGCUCGAGAUCCCAAUAACACCCCCGCUCAUCCCACAACCUUGCCUUUGCGCAUAACACUUCUAAACUUACCCUUUGAUCCUUCAACUUAGUGUGUUAGGAUUUGAAUCUUGGCAUCCAUAACCAUAGCCUCCACCAAUCUACCGGGCCAUCUCUACACCCGACAAUCCUUCUAUCAGUACUUGGCAUCUCUCCAUGCGGCUGAUCCCAAUUAUAGUUGGCUGGAGCCAUACCAAGUGUUUGAGGUAUGGCGGCGUUCUCGAUUUGGCACUGCAACAUCUGUACUAAUUUUACUAGAAAUAUCGAUCAAAUUGUUGCACCUUUUUGGAUGGUUGAUUUAUUUUUGUUAAUUCAAUGUUUCCAUUCUUGUUUGUCUUAUGAGGCUUUCCACAUGUUUUUACCUGACUAGUGAACUACAUCAUAUAUUAUACUUCUUUCAAAUUCAUCCCUACCACCAUCAUUGGAGCCUCACCACAACUCUUGAAAUGUAAGGACAUUAUAUGUCUUUCAUUGUUGUGUUACCUUAUAGCAGUUUGAUUGAGCCCCGGGUAGUUUGGAUUUAAGAUGGACCUAUGUGAUUCUAUUUCUCCGUAGGGUUUUGAAGCCUUUGAUUUCUCAAGAUUUUAUUUUCAAUUAUGAUUCACAUGGCCACAAGUCAGUUCUUUUAUCAAAUAAUGUCAGGGGAUUUGUAUCUCUUGGGAUCUCCUCCAUAAUCCCUCCCUGUGGUAGUUACUCUCAUGUCUCAUAUACUACCACCGGGUGGUAGUUACCAUCAUAUCUUAUAUACUAGCAUGUGGUAGUAUAUAUAUUACUUUAUCAUUCUAUGUAUAUUCAUAUACUAUAUCUAAGAUUUUUCAAAGUGAGUUAAAUGAAUAAAAUUCAUGUGAGUCCAUGGAUUUUAGUAUAAUUUUGAAAAUACCUUCAUAUUGGUAUGUAUGAAACAAUAUAAUAAAAACUAUUACAUUACUACCAUGUGUAGUGUUUCCCACAACCACACCUUAGUACACAUCUAACCCUCUACCACCAGUCAAAGAACAUCUAACUCUACUCUUUGAUCCAUCAACUCACUAUGUUAGGUUCCAGAUAUUUGGGGAUCCACAACCAUACAUGUCUUAAAUCUAACAAGUCAUAUACAGUUCCUACAUCCCUUGUAAGAGGUCUUAGAAUCUCUCGUACAAUCUAUCCUAACUAUAGUAGCUAGGAACCAUAGCAAGAGUUGAAGUUAUAGCAGCGUGUUCUCGAUUUGGUAGUGAACUCUCAAGGAUGUGAUAAUCACAAGAAAGUUCCAUUUGUUAAGUCUUGCCAUUGCCAUCUUGUUUCUUCGGAGUUGUGCUCCUAGAUUUAGCAGAUUGGUUGUGUAUGUACGUAGUGGCUAAAGUUGAUGGUUCUCUAUUCUAACCUUUUAUUUCCAUAUGGUAUUUGGUUUGCUCGAGUUCCAAUGGUAAAUGAUAAAAUUGCUGCAUUCUUAUAAUUUUUGUGAAUACUUAAACAAAAUACAUGUCAGUAGAUUUAUAGACAUUUUCACACAACAUAUAUGUCAUGGCCAUUUGGUGUCUUCAUACUUUGCCAUUGUCCAUAUGAUUUCUAUUGAUAAUUAUUUCGUAUAAACACAUGCAAGUACAUACGAGUAUCCGCUUAAUGGUGAGAAAAAAUUGUGAUGCAUCCACAUUCUAAUUUUAGGUAGUUCAUUGUCAAUAAAGCCUAUAUUUGAAAUCAUAUGCUGGCCAUUUGGGGCACGAUAAGUUUAGCAAAAACUAGAGUGGCAUGCACAUGUGAAUAUUGUUCCAAGUUUCAAGCUUCUUAUUUACAUUCCUCUAAGUGUGGUGGGAAAUUUGUUAGCAUGUUCCCCACAAUAUACCGGGGGUGCGCAUUAGGCGAUUCGAAGGAGUUUACUGUACAUAGAAGUAAUUUGUGGUUGUGCGAGUUAAACUACCUAUCUUCUGUUUUUUACCUUAUAUAACAAGGAUGUCAUCAUGUGACAAAAACUUUCAUCUCAUUUUUUAUGUGCAAGAGUUUUGUGAAGAGGCCCACUUGGACUGCAGAAUUCCUAUAGGCUUUAUAAUCGAGAUCCAAGAUUUUUUUAUCCUUUUCUGUUUGACCAUUUCUUUGAUCAAAAGAAUGAGUAUGUGAUGCCAUUUCUUAUGAAUUCAAGAGGCAUUACUGUUCCAACAUAUUCAAAGCACAUAUUCUGACUGUAGUUUGGUAGUCUGGAGCAAGAUUUCUCGCAAUACUCGAAAGAAAACCUCCUCGAUGACUGCUCGUUAGAAGAAAUCCGACAACAUUGUGGUCUCUCCUAAAGUUGGAAUUAUCACUCGCGGCAGCAUGUCAAACAUAAAUGAUAUGGCUUCCUUGGAAACAAAUCACACUACAGUUCCAAGAGGUAUCUUUCUUACUUUCAUGUUGCAAAUAUGAAGAUAAUUCUAAUGAAAAUAUUGCAUAUAAAUUAAUCUUUUGUCACAUAUGAUGAAAUACCAGGACAUUGUGUGACACCUACCUUCGAAAUAACUGUGCAGUCGGAUGAGGGGCUUAAUCUNNNNNNNNNNNNNNNNNNNNNNNNNNNNNNNNNNNNNNNNNNNNNNNNNNNNNNNNNNNNNNNNNNNNNNNNNNNNNNNNNNNNNNNNNNNNNNNNNNNNNNNNNNNNNNNNNNNNNNNNNNNNNNNNNNNNNNNNNNNNNNNNNNNNNNNNNNNNNNNNNNNNNNNNNNNNNNNNNNNNNNNNNNNNNNNNNNNNNNNNNNNNNNNNNNNNNNNNNNNNNNNNNNNNNNNNNNNNNNNNNNNNNNNNNNNNNNNNNNNNNNNNNNNNNNNNNNNNNNNNNNNNNNNNNNNNNNNNNNNNNNNNNNNNNNNNNNNNNNNNNNNNNNNNNNNNNNNNNNNNNGCUGACACUUAUUAUGAAUCGGAGGGAGUACUAAUAAAAUGAAAAAGUUUAGCCUUUCAUUGUUUCUUCCCUUCUUUGAGUCCGAUAGUAUUGCAAAUUGCUUACUAGGUGUUGUUGUUGUUUGAUCACUCUUAUCUUUUUGUUGUGAGUUUCAAAUUGUUUUCAUUUUCUUGUUUAACAAGUAGGUCUCGGUCAGCAAAAGAGUGCAUCAUCCUGCCAUUAGAAAAAAAUAAAAAUAAAAAAACAGAAAUGAGACAUGAUUUUGGUAGGAAUUAAUCAUCUUCAUGAUAUAUAGACCGUAUAUGGUAAAAGAACGCGUGUGUGCUUGUGCCUCGCUUCCACGCGCUCGCACAACACUGGCCAUCUUUGUCCAAUUGUCCUCUUUCCACUUUCUUCCAUUCCCUUCACAAGUGAGCGCGUUCCCUUGAUCCUAAUUAACCCACCUAGCUAGGCACCCAACCGCCGCAGCGAGCCCGCAGAACCCUAGCUAGGUAUUGGUGAUCGAGGCAUAAUCAUUUAACCCCCGGACAUGGCGAAGAUGGUAACGGAGAUGAAGGGAGUGACUCCGUGGGCACAGGAGCAGCCCGGCAUGGCCACAGAGAAGCAACUCAUCGACGUGCAGGAGGUGACUGGAUCACACAGACACAUAGUUCUUUUUGGUUGGAUAGUUGGUAGAUCUGAUCGUGGUUUACGCAAACACUCAUAUUGCUUGGCUUUGGCUGCUCUAGCGGAUAGAUCGGACAGAGUUAAUUCUUGUUGUUGGGCUGCACUAGUCAAUCUAAAUCUGAUUGUGGUAGGGGAUCGAUAGAUCUGAGAUGAAUCAGACAUAGAAAUGCUCUCACGCGGCUAGUUUGAUUUGAUGAUUACUCGAUCGUGCGACUAUGGGAGGUCCUCGGCGUCCGAAUUUUGCCGCUGCAGCUUUGCUCGAAUGCAUCCUAGUUGGUCUUCUGAUGCGUCCUGUUGGUGGCGGCUGUCCGAGCAUACCCUCCGCAAGUGGUGGCGGCGAGGCACCGACGAGUAGGAAGCAAGGAUGCGUCGGGUGCAGGAGGAAGAAGGUGGUGGUCCUAAAAGAUAUAUAUUAUACUCCCUCCGUCCCGAACUACUUGUCGUAGAAAUGUAUGUAUUUAGAGCUAAAAAAUGUCUAGGUACAUCCAUUCUUGCGACAAGUAAUUUGGGACAGAGGGAGUACUAUGAAAUAUAUUAUUUGUACACUAGGAAAAUGGCUAGUACUAAAAGAUAUAUACAUAAAUAAAUAUUUGUAAGAUUUUAAAGCAAAAAAUGUAUACUUAUGGAAACUUUCUAUGCACAAUAUUUACAAACUUCCAAAAAUUCCUAGUCCGUCGGGUAGACAACUAGUGUAGUCUUCCAAAGUGGAAAUCACGCGCUCGCAGAGAAACAGGCAUUCAAGCCCUGCCAUUUCUGUCUUUCGCUUCGCCCUCUCCUCGUACAAAGGCCGAAAACCCACCGGCAGGGUAGGUGUAGCCACCCAGCCGCCGCACUUGGCCCCCAAAAACCCUAGCAAGAGAGGCUGAAUCGUAUGGGGCGGAAAAAGAGGAGGGAGUUAAAGAUGGUGACGAAGUUGAAGGGAGUGACGCCGCGGGCGCAGGAGCAGCGCGGCACGGCCCCGGAGCUCGUCGCCGUGCCAGAGGUGAGUGGAGCACGUCUUGCCUGGCUGCUAGCUAUAGGUCGUCGACGGAGCUCUUUGCUGUUAUUUGUUGCGCCCCCUGGUAAAUCUGAAUCCGAUCUGAUCGUGGUAUAGGGGGGCGCAUCUCGCAUGCACAUACGGGUAAGGGGUCGAUCGGAAGGGACAGAUGUGGGGAUUUCGCCGCCGCGGUUUUUCUUGACUGCGCCCUAGUUGGUCGUAUCCGCCUUCGUUGAGUUGAGGGUGGCGAGCGGUGAGGGUAGGAAGCGUGGGGACACGUCGGGUGCAGGACGAAGAAGAUGGUGGGUGGCGUUGCUCAUGCCGUCAUGCGCUGGGGACGAAUCGGGCGUGAACCCAAGCAGCUAUGGCUGGACGAAUCGGGGUGAGAUUCUGCUGGAUCGCUAGCUAGCUAGAUUGCAUCUGGUUAAUUUUCCCUCUGGUACUCGCACCAAGAUCAAGCGACUUCCAAGCAAUAAAUCGACCAAAACUGAUUCUGUAGUAGUAGUGUAGUACUAAUCGCCCCACCGCUAGAUGUGAUAGAUUUUUUCCUUUCUAGGAUUGAUGCGUCCCAGAUGUGAUAGAUUUUUUCCUUUUUUAGGAAUGAGAUGUGAUAGUUUUUCUAAAACGCUAUAAAAGGUUCGAUUUGCCACGGUAAAAAAAUCUGACAUCUGAUUUGUAGCGGGAUCCUAGUCUUUUGAGGGGUCAAAAUGUGAUAGUUUAGGGGGUCGUUAAAAUGAUGUGUUGUGUUAAUUGUGUAGUGGUCGGUCUCGAUGCGCAUUGGAGGCCCAACCCAGAACAUAUGCUCUUUCCUUGUGUGUACCGGGAUUGCUCCCGCCUCGAAAUAAAAAUAAAGAAAAUGUUAGCUAGGCGAUGGAGAUAUGGUGGCAGCGGCGAAGCCUAGUCUCACCCCCAUGCGGCAGUAGAGAAGGCGCAUCGCAUCGGAGGAUGGCCGGAGCCGAUCAGAAGCAUGGGCGCACGCAGGCAUACGUCAGGGCGACGGUACAAAACUGGGCCUAGGGAUACAGUAUAGGCAACCACAACAAGCAGAAACCCCUCCCUUCUUAGUUCGUGUAACUCUCUUUUUAAUAACUACGAUAUGCAGUAAUUUUUAUUUUGCUAUGUCAAACUGUACUUGUUCAUUCCCUGCAAAAAAAAACUAUACUUAUUCAUAUACUUGCAGAAAUGGGAGAGGCCAUCUCGGUCAUACUAUUUCUUAAAUGAUGCAACCAUAAGAAUGUACAACUGAAAUGUUUAACUAUUUUCUGCUUGAGUAGUUGUUAAAAAUUAUCUGUUGGUUGCAUCUACCUACGAUAUAGUGAUCAUAACAUUUUUUUUGGUGACCAAAUAGCGACCAUAAGUUAGGCAAGUCUUGUUUUUUUGUGUGUGGGAAGUCCUGGCUAAUAUUGUUGGCUUUUGAUCGCUUGAUAAAUUCACCAGAGAGCAGCAGCAUACAUACGUGCAAGCUAGCUAGCUAGCAGUCACCUUGAUUGAUGAACAGUGGCCAAGCACAUGCACAGAUACUUCAGUUACGCUACUAGAAUCUGGUUUUGUCCCGAGUUAUUCUAGUAGUGCCUUAUUAUCUCUCUCUCUCCAUUUUAGGUUGUUGCACUAUUCAUUUUUGUUUUUCCUAUGCACUUGAUAUUAUUGUGAGUAAUAUAGACCUAGGUCAUUUGAAUAAAUGGUUGUAUCAGGAACCACGUAUUGAUGUUGAAAUGAAGGAUGGUGCAUUGGAACGCCAAAUCAUGAAAGCGCCUAAGUCAGGUUGCGAUCGCAAGACAGCUUGUUUUCCCUAUUAUUGGUUAUUGGUCCUCCAACUUUUUAACCUAUGUGUUCUUAAUUUCAUUGAAGGUGGCGUCACUGAGAAUAGCAAUGAUCAGAUUCGUGAUUCCGUGGUAGAGAUUAAGAAAAUACGGGAUUCUAUUGUAUGUUAUAUGUCUUCUCUUUUGUUUCAGGAAAAAAAUGAUGCUUGUGUUUCUUAUAUUUUGUUCUAGUUGAGAAUCUUAUGUAAAUUCAUCCCCUCUUUGUUUCAGCUUCGUAAGGAAUUCAUACUUCAAGAUGGAAGUGCUCAAUGUGAUAUGGACAUUCAUAAAAUUAAGAUGGACAUUCAGAAAAUUAAGACUGGUAUUCUACCAUUUUACACAUCUAAACAUCGUUAGAUUGAUAAUCACUUCUAGAAUUGUCAUUGUUUUGUGGCAAACAUUGUGGGCAUGUUUUGCUGGGAGCCAUAUAUUUCCCAAAGUUCUGUGUUAAACUGUCGUGUUCCUCACUUUAAACUGUGGACAAAUCGUCUGUUAGAAGUGUGGCAUAUUUUGGCAAGAAGUUAUUUCUAUAUGAGUUCAUAGUUUAAAAUCGCCGGCGAACAGAAAUUGCGGCAUGGAUUUGGCCACGAUGAGUAAGGAAGGAAUGCUGCAAUCUCCGGCAAUUUCCCAUGCCAUGCAGAUAGCGCAGCCGUUUCAGAUUCGUGAUAGCGCCGCUAUUGCGGCAGUGUCACCCAUGAUUUUAAUUUAUGUAUGAGUUCCACAUUUCCAUUACUCAUCAUGUUUAAACCUUAUGCAGAAAAGAAGAUGACAAAAGAAGUGUUGUCAACAAUGGAGAAAUAUAAGGAACCUAGCUCAAAUAUAAUGAAAGUUGCCAAUCUAAUUUUCUCUGGCGAUGAUGGGAAAACCAAGAGCACUAAUAGAAUGGAAUUGAAAUUUAAGGAGGCACUCGCACAACGCGAUAAAUGCAUGGUAAGAAACUUCGCGCUGCACUGAUGCAUUAAAAUUUUAAAUGCCAUCUGUACCUUUGACACUUGUCAAUGCAGGAGCUUAAUGAUAUCUGCUGUGAUUGCGAUUGGAUGGCCCCUAGAUACACAGUACUACCUUCACUAGCAGAUGGUGUCUCUAAAUACCUUUACUCUUAUCUCUUUAAUUUUCCAAAUGGACAAGCAUUGAGUUCUUGGACCAUAUAGGCACAAUAAUAAGAAUUUCAUAGAAAUGGGUCUUGUGCCACGUACUUUCUGAUUAGCGUUUGUUGAAUCCAAUCCGUGUAGCACCCCUUGGGCUAAAGAGUUUUCAAAAGGUCAUAUCUCUAAACCACUUGUCUGUGCUCUAUUCAAGUGUUAGGUUUAUUAAACAUCACGGUUCGGUCCAUGGUUACCAAAGACAUGUGUCGCGCCGUUGUCGGAUCUAUUAGAGAUCACCUCUACUCAUUGCAUUGCAUUCCACUUGUCAAGAACUGAAUAGGUUUCCAGCUAGCAAAAACCAGAACUGCUGUUUGAUUUAGUUUACUCUGUACAUUCGGUUUACAUGGUUCGGUUUAUACGUUUUUUCGGUUUGUACGAUAUUAAUACUUUGGUAAAUAUGGUAUGAAAUUUAGAUACGGUUCGGUUUCAAUAUAUACCAAAUUAUUUUGGUAUGGUUUCGGUAUAUACCAUAAAACCAAAGUUGACGCGAAUUUGAAAAUGACAUAUAAUAGUUUGUAAAUUUAUGACUCAAAACACAUAUCUUUUUUAUACAAAGAGUAUAUAACUAUAUGCGACUGUAUAUGCAUGCAUGGAUUGGAUGGUUAUGGACAUGCUUAGCAUUCUUAUUAAGAGAAAUAUGAUUCGUUACAAGAAAAUUGGAUGCGCUUAACAUGAAAUCUAGUUUAUGUACAAAAAAGGACUACUCUAUGGUUGUUCUCCCCAAGAAAUAUACAUAUUUUUUUUACUUCGGUUUAUUCGGUAAACCAUACGGUUUUUUGGUAUAUACCAUAAAAUCUAGAAUUCAAAACGAUAUAAAAAGUUCAUACCAUACCGAAAUCAUAAACCAUAAAAAAUUAAUGGUUCGGUUUGGUUUAGUUUUGGUUCAGUUUUAAAAUGUACAGGGUGAGAUUUAGUGUGACAUUAUUUUCUGAGCACUUAUCCACCAGUUACUCUCCUAUCUUUUCAGGAAUGCAUGUCGGCGAAGUACGUUUGAAAUGCCCUGAUUUUGAGAUGAGCAUCACUAGCGAUCCUAGUCCAACCCCACAUGAUGCGAGGUGCUCUGCAGCUGCCAAUAUGACAUUGGAGCUUGGCAAGAAGGUGGAGGACAAAGAACAUCAUGAUAACUGAUGCAAAGUUGCUAGCUGGGAACUAGCAGGUGCUGGGGCCAAUAUUACCAAAGAGUGAAAUAAAUCAACUUAGCUAUUUGUUGUUGUGAUGUAUGAACGACUUAAUGAUUUGUGUUGUGCGAGUUUGUACUGUAUUGCAUUGUGGCACAUGUGUGCCAACCAUGUGCUCAAACGAAUUAUUUUUACCAUUAUUUUAUUGAAUUUUUCUUUGUUUUGGGAACUCAUUCAAACUUGCUUUUGGGUGGAAUUUCAAUUAUGUGCAUAUGAUUGGGUUGCAUUUUCCCAAAAUUAUAGCACCUUUUUGGAACGUUGCUUAUUGUUCUAAUUUAGAAAUUGUAUUCCUGUUUACUUGCUAGGUUUUGCGAGUGAGGCAUUUUGGAGCUUGAAUUUUUCUAAAUAUUAAAAACCAUAGUUCAAAGUCUGAAAAAGUCAUAGAUUUCUAUACAUAUAUUCAUAUGAAUGCAUUCUACAAGUGUAAAACGUUUCAUGAUGAAAUACGUUAACAUUUGAGCCACACAAAAUGGAAAAUUUAUGAAUUUUCAAUAAAGAACAAUGUAUGUACUAUUCAUAGCUAUCGAAGUUAUGAAUUUGUUUUUUGGUAGUUCACAUGUUAACAUAUAUCACCAUUAAACUUUGCAUACAUGUAGAAUAUAUCGAUAUAAACAUGUGGAGUUAUUUUUAGAAAAAAUUGGAAGUCCAAAUUGUGAAUUUUGAUCUUUUCAAAUAAAAAGACAAACAAGCUCAAUACAGCCCAAGCUCUGAAAUGAACUUCCGAGGUUUUGCAUCCUUUCUCGUUAACAGUGAAGUACACCAAUAUUUGUUAUAUCUAUCCAAAUAUGUUAUUCCCACUGCCUGUGGGAGCUCUCUAAGGUGGGCCAGAAAAUUUCCUAUUGUUUAUUUAAUAAAGUAUAACCAUAUUACUAUAUUAGUGGUGAAAUGGCCGACCAGGAGCACUAUAGACAAACCACCUUAACAAUGAUGACCAUAUGAGUAUGUUAACUAUCCGAAAAAAUAUAAGUAUGUGAAUUAUUAAUUGUAAUCAUAGAUUAAAAUCGCGGGAGAAACGAUUUCGUGACGGCCUCUCCCAGCAGCUAUAGCGGCAGCCAUAGCGUUUGACAAGAAACUAAUCUCCAAUUUGGCGGUUGUGGAGUUCUGCAUGAGUUACCACUUGCUUAUAUUUUUAUCCUUUCAUAAUUCAAACUGACUCUUUUCCUUCUCUGUGGUGAAAUUCCAACUAACCCUCCAGGUAUAUUUUCCCCUCAGGCAUCACAAGAGAUGGCUUAAUGAGAAAAUAGGACCAGAUGCUGCAAAUAGUGAACAUGACUUUACAAGGAAGAUACUUGCUAUGGAUGCUAAAAACUACCAUGCUUGGUCCCAUAGGCAGGUAUGCAGUAUCUCCUUUUGAUGUUCAGUACAAGUUGGAUGUUUGUAUCCUUUAAGCUUGUUACUUCUCGCUUGGCUGUUGUACUAAGCAAUUUUAGUACCAGGAGAAUAUUGGGUAUAAUAAUGUAAUUGAUUUGCUAUAAUUGAUGCAGUGGGUUCUUCAAGCAUUGGGUGGAUGGGAGAGUGAACUGCAGUACUGCAACCAGCUUCUUGAGGAAGAUGUCUUCCAUAACUCAGCUUGGAAUCAGGUCAUUUGCUUGUCCUUCUUUGGAUGCUUUCUUGUGUAUUUUCGAUAUGCCAUUUCACUUCAGAUUCUUCACCAUCGGGUAGAGUUUCAUGGAUCAUCGUGCAUUAAUUUCAUCAAAACAGUAUUGCAAUCUCCAUUCUUGUCCUUGAUUUAUUAACUUUUUAUUGAUCGUGGUUUUACCUCGUAACCAACUUCUUCCUUGCGAGUGCCUUUUUCUACUGAUGAGGAAUUAAGGCCAAAUAUUCAUAAUUAUACUGAAGUAUGUUUUUUUGUUGUUGCAACGGAGAUACCUUGUGGUAACACGAUCACCAAUUCUUAGGGGCCUUGCGGCAAUGCGCGACUCAGAAGUAGAUUACACAGUUGAGGCCAUUAUGGUGAACCCUCAGAAUGAAAGCCCCUGGAGAUACCUCAGAGGUUUAUAUAAGGAUGAUAACAAUUUGCUGGUGGCUGAUAAUCGCAUUUCUGAUGCUUGCCACAAAGUCCUGAAUAAGGAUUGGACAUGCGUAUUUGCUUUGAGCUUCCUGCUUGAUCUUCUUCGCAUGGGUUUGCAGCCUUCAAAUGAUCUUAAAGGAACCAUCGAAGCAAUGGAGAACUCUGAUCCUGAAACGGGACAUGCUGAUAUUGCAGUAGUUGUCUGCUCAGUCCUGCAGAAAUGUGAUCCCCUGCGGAUAAACUACUGGUCAUGGUACCAGACCACUCUUUCUUCUUAGACAUUUGAAAAUUCAGCUGAAGAUAGUUUUAGCAGCAUGAUGUAAACUCAAUCGAAGGGGUUGACGCAGUGUAUGAAAAACCUUUCCUGUGAUCUUGGCGCGGAGCAAAAUUUGUACUGAUUUUACCGGGAAAAAUCAAUCAAUGACAGCAUGCCCAACAAUGUCUUGUGUGAAUAUGUUACUGCCUGAUAUUCACAUGUUAGCAGAAUGAUAAUAAACAACCAAACUCCAAUGAGCAGAUUGUUACAGUAACGGCCACUGGUGGUGUGAAAAUCCUGAAAUCUGCUUCAGUCACUUUGCCUUGUUUACAGUUGAGUCUGUUGUUGUGAUCUGUACCUAAUGCAUGUACACGAUCAUAAAAUUAUUAGUUUUUGUACCAAUGUGUGCUCGAUGUAAUCAUCCUGUAUUCCCUCCUUCCAAAAUACGAGUCAUAUAUAUUAGUUUUGUCUUAAUUUGAACUUACAUGAACACCUACAAUACCCAAUCAAUAUCAGUAGAUGCACCUGUUUUUG